GUUACGCCAAAAGAUGCGGUUAAUACAGCCAGAACCACACCUGUAACCCAAGUCAAUUCGCGAGGUUUUUUAAAUCCGCCGGUGAGAUACACACGAAAUACAUGCAGGAUCAUCAUUAGGACCAUCAUACUUGCCGACCAUCGAUGAACGGAUCGGAUUAACCAACCAAAGUUGGCUUCAGUCAUUAUGUAUUGAACAGAAGCAAAAGCCUCAGUAACGGUCGGACGAUAGUAAAAAGUCAUAGCAAACCCAGUAGCUACUUGUACUAAAAAACAAGUAAGCGUAAUUCCCCCUAAACAAUAAAAUAUAUUGACGUGGGGAGGAACAUAUUUACUAGUUAUAUCAUCCGCAAUUGCUUGAAUCUCGAGACGUUCUUCGAACCAAUCAUAUACUUUAUUGAGAUAGGCGGAACUCCCCCUCUGAGAACCGUAUAUGAGACUUUCAUCUCGUACAGCUCAAGCAAAAACACCCAAAUACUAGUUGCAACGGAGAUGGAAUAGAAAGUUUGAAAUUUAUUAAGUUCUGAUCCCAUCUUCUCUGGAAAAUCCGAAAGCUCUUCUUUGUGGCGAUAAUACCAAAAUAUCAAGUUGGCGCAGUCGUCUUUAUCUUUAUUUUGAUACUUAUGGGCCUCUUGAAUUCUCUUGUUCCCUAUUUCUUUAUAGAAUUUGUGGAAUAUGGCUUUUAUUAUUUGUUUUCUUUAUUAUUGAUAGGAAUUCUCUUGUUAAGACCCUAUGAAUCAAUUAAAACCUCAGAUUCAUACUAGAACCACGAUGAUUCAAUAAAAAAACCUAACCUAAAUCAAAUCAAGGAUUCCCUGAGUAAGAAUCCUCGGAUCAUCACUUAUUCCCUGAAUAAAUAGAAUGACUAAAAAUUCAAAGAAAGGUUUUGCUUUUGGUCAAAAUAUAAAUAGGGGUUGAAAGAAAAGAAUCUUUCGAUUUAGAAAUUAAAAUUCCUUGUUUGAAAAUUUUUUGGAGCCCGGGCACGAGGUCUGAAUAUUAAGUAUGAAUCAUAGUUCAAAUAUUUCUUAAUCUAUUUCGUGUUCCAAAUAUUCGAAUAAAUAUCUGACGAAGUAGAACCAUCUCUAUCAAGAUAACAGACCCAUUCUCUGUACUAUCAAUAGGAUCAAUUAUAACAAGUCACACACUCAUACUCCGGAAAUACAGAAACAAAGAAAUUCCACGAUCGAACUACCAAAAGAAAAUAGAACGGACUAUAAAAACUCUCCAUAAAAGUCACAACUUUUCUUAGAAGUCACAAUAUUUCUUAAAAGUCAAGACUUUUCAUGAAAGGGAAAGGCUAGUUUGGUAAAUAAAUGAAUUAAAAGGAAAUCCUGGUUUAUGGUAUAUAUAUAUAUAUAUAUAUAUAUAUAUAUAUAUAUAUAUAUAUAUAUAUAUAUAAUGCUUACAUCGAUUUUGCUUACACGUUUACAUUGAUUUUUGCUUACACGAGACGAGACAUAUAAGAUUAAAUAUUGUUAUCGUCUUUUGAAAGGGAUGAAUUUGAUUAUCCGACUAGCAUUUUUUGACUUGUCCCUCAUUAAAACGGUUGUGGUUAAGUGUUAUUACUCAUUGAGCUAGCGUCUCACACCCUGCUAAAUUUUUACAGAGAACACAGGUGAUGUUGGCAAGGACUUUAUUAACUAGAGCUAGCAAGUUAAGAUUCCAUGGUGAGCCCACACUUGUUCAUGCAGGCAGUAAGCUUAUUUAUUUUUAUGGAACUUCGUUUGGAUUCUUAGUCACUCCAUAGUCACUUCUCUACUCGAGUCCCGAAUAUUCUUCCGUUCUUAUAUAGAUGUGUGAUCAGUACCAAACUUCAUUUCAUUUUUUUGACAAGGCUUGCUUUAGGUCACGUUCCUAAAUUGGGUCAUGACAUUAACCAAAUUUAUCUAUUGGGUUAAGGGCAAGAUAUACAUGGGGUCUAUAUAAUAAUCAGAGAAAAAAAAUUAGAAAGUUAGACAAAACAAAGAGGUUUCAAAAUAGAAGCAAUAAAUUUCAAUGAGUUCUUAACAUUAGAUCUUAUAUACAUUCUUAUACAGAUAAACAAGAAAUUACAAUAAAAAAGAAACAAGGGAGAUUGUGAUGAUUUUCCAAUCUUUUAUACAAGGUGACCUAGUAGUCUUAUGCAUGAAAUAAUCAAUUUCGUCGUUGUAGGUGAAUUCUAUUAUGGAUUUCUGACCACAUUCUCCACAGGGCCAUCAAGCAUAUAUAUUAAUUGAAAUAGUCAAGCACUAGACUAGUAUUGGACAUCACAAAAUGAGAGGGUCCCCUACAAAAAAAAACAAAAUAUAACACCUCGUACUUUCAUGCUAAGGUUUGAUCCGUUCGACAUGUAUGACUUAACCAUACCCAGUUAAUUGUUGUGAUUUGUAAGCGUUGAAGGGCCUAUUUGUGCUUGGUGAGUUAUGUAAGUUUGGAGUUGAUCAAAGAUUGGAAAGGUUUAUGAAGGUGUUACGUCAUGUAUGGUGUGAAGUACGAUGAAAAAAUGAUCAAAAUGGUCCUUAAUGUAUAAGGGUUAAAUUAUUUUGGUCCUCUAUAUAUAUCAUCUUAUCCAAAUAGUCCUUAACGUAUACAAAAUGAUGGUCAUUUUAGUCCUUACCCCUAAAACUAACCAAAAAGAAAAAUAAAAGUUGUUAACCAGUGAGUCCCUUGGAGUUGAGACCCUUCUUCCUCAAUCUACUCUUUCACCACCACCAUAACUAUGUGCCACCAUAGGUUUGUCUUAGAGCCCGUUUGGUCAUGCGAUAUGAUAUCAUGAUAUGGAAUCAUGAGAUGAAAUUGAAAUUUUGUUUGGACAUGUGAUAUGGAAUUUUAGUGUUGUAUAUUUUCUCAUAACCAUAAAAACCCCAUAAGUUCUAAAACUAUUAAAAUAGCCCAAAUUGUUUAUUCAAUAUUAUCAAAUAAACAAAAUAUCGUAAAAUCGUAUAAUAAAUUAUUACAAAGUUAUUUAUUCUCCACUUAAGUAAUUGUUUCAUCAAUAUAUUUAAGUAAAAAUGAAACACCUUUCACGGGAUCUUCAAGAUUUUAUUACUCAACAAUCAUGAAGUGUGAGUUAAAGUGACUAUAUGUUGGCGAGAAUAAUUAAUUUUAAAAAGUAAUGACGUGAUUAUAAAUUUCAUUUACAUUUGAAAUAAAUGGUUAGUAGAUAUAAAUGUGAGGUUGUUUUAACAAAAUAUAAACUCGUGGAUCAAUUUUUGUAUUAAAAUAACUCAAAUCAUGAUACGGUAUUCCCAUAUGAUUCCAUAUCAUGGUUUUUGGAGAAUAUCGUAUCACAUCUCAUGAUAUGGAAUCAUGAGAUGGAAUCAGCAUAAAAUUGCAUGUCCAAACGCUGAUUCCAACUCACGAUACCAUAUCAUGAUAUGGUAUCACAUGGCCAAACACCUACUUAAAUAGACAUUUCCACUACUUUAGCUCAAGUUUAUGGUUCUUACCUUGGCAAGUAAGGACAUCCCUUUUCAAUAUGGGAUAGACACUUGAUUGGCGAAUUCCGUGUUAUAGCUCACAUGGUCUAUGUCGGUUAAAGGCAAGAUAUCUCUUUUCAAUAUGGGAUAGACCCUGGAUUGGCGAAUUUCGUGUUAUAGCUCACAUGAUCUAUGUCGGUUAAAGGCAAAUUUCCCACAAUAAUGAACUAAGGUUACUUUCUUAAGUAUCUCACAAGUGUUUUAUAUGAUGUUUAAACUUUCAUUGACCAUGAUUGACUUAUGUUUUCUAACAUCUAUUUUUAUGAUUUAGCUUGGUCAUUGCAUGUCAUAUGAAGUCUUUUUAGCAUAAUUUUGUCACUCUUGUACAUUGUUAUCACUUGGUGCAUUCCAUGUACUAACGCAUACUAGUGAUUACAUUGUUUCACUAGUGUAGGGCCUAAUGCUCCUAAUCCCCCUCCUCGUGGCUAGUAGAUUCAUUUGAGCUUUUGAAGAUUGGUGAGUCCUCAUGAUCUGAGGGCUAAGAUUCUUUUAUCACUUUCAUGUCAUUCUCAUUUUCAAACUUUGUAUGUGAUGUAUGGGUUACGUCUCAGUCACUCUCUUUAUGAUGUAAGGAUGGCUUGAGACUUAUGCUUAGACUUUCACUUUUUCCAAGCUCUGUUACAUAAAAUCUUACUUUUAAACUCUUUUGUUUCUAUUAUCUUAUUUGACAUAUGCUAAUUGGCUUGUGUAAGGCCUUUCGGGUCCUAUACGUAAUGUUACGCCUAGGGUCUACUUUGGGUCUUGAAACCUACAACCCGUUGCACCUUAGUAUGAUUACACAAUGCUACUUUAGUAAAGUUGUCUGUAACGAUGUUUUCAUAGUAAUUAGAUAGAUUUUGGAUGAUUGAAGAUCAAACCAAGCUUUUAGCUAAGGAAAACCCUCUUUUGAGUUACUUGAUAUUGUUGUUCUUCACUAGGGAUGGGCGUUCGAUUAUUUAAUUCGGCUUUAUCAAACUUCGAUUUGGUUCAAUUGUUCAACUUUAGAAAAGUGUGCACUAUAUAUCAAACCAAACUAACUUGGUUUGAUUUUUUCUACUUCGAUUUGAUUUAGUUCAGUGUUUUAAAUUGGUUGUUCAAUGUGAAUGAAAAAUAAAACAAGGACAAAGUAUAAGAUACUUUAAAAUUUAAAACUAUGUUAAGGAAUGAUGCGCCUCACCAAGAAACACUUAUUGUGCUAACCAAAAGGACUAUAUUUGUCUUUAUCAAGAACAUUGUGCCUCUAACUAAUUCUCGAGAAAAACAAGUACGAAGACAGGUCCCUUUACAAAAUGUACAUUGGCAAAAAUGUGUUUGAGUUUCUCUUCGAAAUUAAAAUUUGAAGUUAACUAUUGAAUUGUACAUUUGUAGCUACUUUGAUUUGUUCCUGAAUGAUUUAGUUGUUAGUUGAACUUUAUUUUUAAUUAUUAAUUUUUUAUUUGUUUUAAAUAAAAGUUCAGUUCUUCGGUGCACCGAAGUUUUGAGACCCUUACACCGAUCACCGAAACAAAGAAUCGAACUUUUGAAGAAAUAACAGCAACAAUAAACUGAAAAACCAAAUUAGUUCGGUUCAGUCCAGUUUUUCUUUAUGCCCACCCUAUUAUUACUUUUAUUUGAACUUGAGCUUGGAUUAGUGACUUAAUUAUGUUUUCUAUGUAUGAUGAUAUGUUUAUGAAUAUGACUAUUCUGUUGGAAUUUUUACCAAGCACCGAGAGGACAUUGAGAUGGAGGCUCUCCAGUUAGUAGAGGUUGGGUCUCUAGUAGCAAUCUUCUUAUCCCUAACCACAUGCCCUCGUAGGAUUGUCUUAAGAAGACAUCGCUAGUGGAUCCAAGUAAGCUAGAAGUUCAUGAUCCUUAACUUGGCAAGUAGGACAUCUCUAUUCGGUGUGGGGGCAUGACACUAGAUUCCAUGUUAUAGCUCACAUGGUUUAUUUUGGCUAACGGUAAAUAUUUCACAAAAUGAACUAAGUUACCUUCAAAAGGGUUUUAUGAAAGCUUCCAUUAUGAACUAAGCUACCUUCAAAAAGGUUUCAUGAAAGCUUCCAUUAUGAUUUAAGAUGCAUAGACCAUGUCAUGAUUUAUGAUUUGAAGGUUUUAAUAUGUUUUAGUUUGGUCAUGCACAUCAUAUUUUCCUUAUGCCCCCUUAUGAUCAUGUUUCACAUUUUUAUGCAUACCCCUCAUACUUGGUACAUGAAAUGUACUAAUGCAUAUUUUUGCCUACAUGUUUUAAUAAUGUAAGGUCCAACGCUUUUCUCCACCCUCUCGUGACUAGUUGAUUGACUGAUCGUUGAACACUUGGUGAGUCCUCAUAUUCUGAGGACCACGUCACCUUUACUAUGCUUUCUUAUGUCUUUGGUUUUCAGGCAUUGUAUGUGGUCUAUGAGUUACGUCUCAACCACUCUUUUGAUGUAUUAGAGUGGCUUGUCAAGACUAUGAUUAGACUUCCGCUUUUAUGUCAAACUCUUUUACGAUCUGAGAUCGAUUCAUAAUUUUAUUAUAUUGUGUUGUAUGAAUGUCAAGUGGCUUGUGUAAGGCCUCUCAGGGUAUUGCAGCUAUUGGACCUUCAAACUCACAUAUCCCUCUAUCUGUAGUUCCCAUUUUAUUGUUUAUUUAAGCUUUGAUUCUAUCUAAAUCAAUUUUUGGUGCCAUAACUCAGUAAGAUUAGUAUGCUUAUACACAUUUAUUGACCAUAUUGAAUGAGGGUGCAAGGUACUCAUGUUUGAAUGUUUUGUAGCUAUUGGAGUUCAACCUUGUGAAUGACUUUCAACUUGUUAGUUGAAACCUCCUCUCUUAUGUUUAUAUAUUUUCGGUACAAUCAAUAUCUAAAAUUAAUGGAGUGUAAAAGACUCUUAUGUCUUUUUGCUUGAAUAAAAUUGUCAACAAAUAUAAUCAGAGCUUCAGUGUCCUUCAAAUAUAAGAUGUUAAAGCACUCACCACAUACACGUCUUGAUAAUUUUGCAAGUUCUGCAGCAGCAAGUUUGGCCUUUUUCCCAGCGAAUUCUCUUCUCUCAACUUCAUCCAUCCUCCACUGUCACAAGCAUGAGCAGAAAAUUGUACCAACAAAUUCAAAAAGCAAAAAAGAGAAGAAGGGGAGAGAAUUAAAGUUGAUGUACUCAUACAAUAUACAUUAUAUAUUGUAUAUAUACAGAAACACAUGCGCGCACACACACACACACAUAUAUAUACAUACAUGGUAUAUGUAUAUGUAUAUGUAUACAUACAUGUAUAUGUAUAUGUAUAUGUAUAUGUAUACGUAUAUGUAUAUGUAUUUGUAUAUGCAUAUGCAUAUGCAUAUGCAUAUGCAUUGUAUAUGUAUAUGUAUAUGUAUAUGUAUAUGUAUAUGUAUAUGUAUAUGUAUAUGUAUAUGUAUAUGUAUAUGUCAGGUCAUUUUAUCAAGAUGUCUAAAAAACCAGAAAUCAUCCACUGAUUACUUAGUGUUGGCCAAUUACAAUAAAAAGAAUAACUAUCACUUUACUAGACCGAUCAAAUAACAACAUACCCAAUGUAAUUCCACAAAUGGGGUCUAGGUAAGGUAGAGUAUACGCAAACCAUACCCCUACCAUGGUAGGUAGAGAGGUUGUUUCCAAUAGACCCUCAGCACUCAAGGAAAAGCAUAUCAAAACAAAUCAAAAAAGAAAUAAUCAGAAAUAAAAAUCAUGGCAAUAUACUAUAAGAAGUAUGGCCAAGCAUUUUGAUAGCAAGACAGUUACCACAACAAAAUAGUGUGAUAAUCGACAUACAGAGGCAAUAGAUAGUAAUAAAAAUCGAAGCACAAGGAAAUACAGAAAAAAUACUAUAACUACUAGUAUGGAAGGAUAAGUGAGACAAUACUCUAUUACCUACUAACUUAAGGAUAAGUGAGACAAUACUCUAUUACCUACUAACUUUCUACCUAUUGUGUCCUCCACAGCCUAUUUUAAGGUCAUGUCCACAGUAAGGUGCAACUACGUCAUGUCAUGUCUAAUCACCACUCUAAAUACUUCAAUACUCCGUUGGCCUGCCUCUAACUAUCCUAAAGUCAUCCAUGGACAAACUCUCGCAUCUCUGCACUAGGGCCUCCAUGCCUCUCUUUUUUACAUAUCUGAACCAUCUCAGAUUUGACCAAUCAAAUAAUAUCAAGAUAAUCAACCUCUAAUAAAAAUAUACUCUUUUAUUUUAUUUAGUAAUUUUUUACUCCUAGUCAGUUAGUUUUAAUUGUCCUCCUUUGUUAUUGACAUAAACUUCACUUGGAAUCGAUACUUGAAUCUUGAAGUGAUCUGAGAUAAACGGGUUCUUGAAGAAAUUAUGGACAUCUCAUGAGAGAUAAAAGGCAAACAGUGGUGAAGUCAUUUGAGGGUGGUCAUAACGCCUUAAGCUUUGAGUAUAAACACGAGUAUUGACUGAUAUGAAUUUUGAGUGUUCGUGAGGGAUCCUUUUUAAGUAACUAAAUUUUCUUGGUUUCAAGUAUAUAUUUUGUAGGUACAUGGAGCAAGAAGGUAGACACGAAUGGUAAUGGGAAUCCAAGUGGUGAUCCAUGGAAGGAAGUGAAAGAAGAGUUCAUCAAAUGAAAGAUGUUUUAAUGCAUGGUAUGAAAUAUGAAACACAUGUGAUACGAAGAGGGAACUCAGAGAAAGGGAUCUUAAUUAAUUAAUGGGAAUGAUAGUCCGAGUUCUGGAAGCAUACUUUUAAUUGGGUCCAAGAACUUGGAGACAUUUGACCCUUCGGGGUGGCCGAGUGGUUUGAGCUUGGGACUUCCAUGUUGGAGGUCUCAAGUUUGAAACCUCUUGCCAGCGAAAGCAAGGGGUUUGCCUUCUGGGUCGAGCUCAUCCUGGUGCGGGUUACCUCUCCUAUGUGGUUUGCGAGCUAUUGCAUAGAGCGGGAUUUUACCUUGUGCGCACCCAAAAGGGUAGCGGCUGUUGGUUUCCCUUGUCGUCAAAAGAAAAAAAAAAUUAAGAGACAUUUGAUAUCUUCAAAGUUCCUAACCGAGUAGUUUAGCCACAAAGUUAUUCAUAGAUCGUGCUUAUUGCGGGAUAGAAUGAUGAACUAAAGGAUCAGACAAAAAUUAGUCUCCAUGGCUAAAUGUAAGAGUUUAAAAGGCUCAUAAAAGAGAAAUUCGCUCGUACAUAUUUUCGAGAAAGAGGUUGUGGUAAAUAUAAUAAAGGAUCUACGUGGAAUAAAAAAGCAAGAUUAUAAUAAAUGAUUGAAGAAAUAUGCAAGGAAUAAUGCCAAGAAAUAAGGCUUGAAGAACAUUCAAGAUGGGUAUCCUUUGUCUAUAAUCCCUUUGAUUUCUCAUUGCCUUAGAAAAACUUUUCCCAAUUCCUGAAUAUCUGGUUUGCCAUAAGAAAUUUUACCUAAUACAGAAUAUUGAAGGUUCAGCCGUCGUUGAUAUAGGUCACUGAAUUCACGGUUACCAGUUGUUGUACACUAGUCCGAAUUGGUCUUAGAAAACUUGUGUAGGUCGAGCCUAUUGGUUGUUCUAAUGGUGAAUUGCAUAAGUUAGUUGUGGAAGAGGUAGGAAUGGUGGAACACCCUCUGAUGGAGGUUGUCCACCGGCCAUUGUGGUCAUCCAUGGCCAAUAGGCUUUUUGGAUUUUAGGGGUUUUCGCCACUUAUGAUUGAGAGAAAAUAUCCCAUGCAAUUAUACUAUGAGCUUUUGUUAGUACUCCCUCCGUCCACUUUUAAUUAUCAUGUGGUUUCCUUUUUUAGAGUCAACAUAAGAACUUUGAUUAACAUUUUUCGAUGUAUUUUUCAUCAUAUUGAUACGCGAAAAUCGCAAUUUAUAGUACUUUUCAUAUAGUUUUGGAAUAUCCAAAUUUUUUGUUUAAAUAUUGAAUUAAUGUAAUCUAAUUUAACUUCAAAAAUAAGUCAAAUUGAUUUUCGAAAAGCAUGACAAUUAAAAGUGGAUGGAGGGAGUAAUAAAAUACUUCAACUUUAGAUUAACGAUAAAUCUCUCAAUUUCUUCUUAUGAUCUUAUCACAAUUAUUAGUCAUUACUCUACUUUCAUACUGGACCAAGCCAUUAUAAGUUGUUUGAGUAGAUUUAGCUAAGGUCGUUGCACUUCUUCAGCCUCUUGGCAAAGUAGGUUGAUAGACAAGCCCGCCAUAAUCACAAUCGUGUGGGGCAUCAGAGGUUGUUACGUUAUCCUGAAAAAGGAUUACUUUUUAUUUAAAAUAGUCAAAGGUACGGGGUAUACAAUGGAUAUAUCAAAAAUUAAAGAAUCUACAGCAAAAAUGUUUCUCCACUAACUCCACCCAAUCUUCAAUACAAUUGGAAACUCUAUCAGUGCACCAAAAGAACAUAAGGGAUCAAAGGCUACUUGUCAAUUGAGAAAAGCUCGACUCUACCCCUUAAAAGCUCUCCUAUUUCUCUCUUUCCACACCACCCACAUUAAAGCUAAUGGAACCAAGUUCCAAGCAAUAGGCAAGUUUUUAAAGAAAAAGUCAGCAUAUAUUUUUUUUUAUAAUAUAAGUCAUAGAAUAUUUUUAAAAUAAAUAUAUUAUUAGGUUACUUUGGGUCGUUUUGUAGUUCAUACCAAAAAUUUUAAACUAAAUACAUGUUUGUUGCUUAAGCCAGUUCUAUUUAGUCGUUCUGUUCAGUUUGAUUUUUUAAUUUUUCUUGAACACUCCUAAUUAUUUAUGUUUGUUGAGGGUCAAACGAAAACAAGAUCUCUACCUCCGAGGUAGUUAUAAUGUUUGUGUACACUCCACCUUUACCAUACCCAGUUGAUGGGAUUACACUGGUAUGUCGUAUGUUGUAUUCCUAAUUAUAUAUGUAGAAUAUACAUAAGAUAAACAAAGAGAUCAGAGCCUUGGCUAAACUUUUGAAAUCGUAAUGCCAUAAUGCUUUUCCAAUCCUCCUAGUCAUUACCCUACUGCAAUAAUUCUUGCUAAGAAGAAUUCCUAUGUUGUGGCAAUUCCACCUAAAAGGUAAUGGGUUACUCCUCCAGCACAUCCUUGCAUAAUUCUCAAGACCGAGUAGCAAGUAGGUUUUUUUUAAUUCUAUUUUUUCAUCAACAUCCCUUUUUUGUUUUAGAUUUAUAAGAAAAUUAUGAAGAUAUUGUCGAUUAAACAAUGAAACAAACUUUUUGAAGUAUAUUCCUUAUUGAAAUCCCAUCAAUCAAAUAACUUUUUCAAGAAAUGAAAGACAUGUAAGCCAUACAAGUAAAGAGAUCCAUUCAUUGAUAAAAGAUAGAAAAAACGUGAAUUGGAUUGGAUUGAUGAGAAAAUGGAAUCCUGGGUCACAUACAGUGAUUUAAUUGAUAGAAAGAGAAUUCUUCGUUCAGUUCUCCACCUCAAAAACAAAUUAUGGUGUAAUACCUCUUUGUCAUCUCGCUGAGAUGCACAUAUUAAUACGUCCUCUAAACUGAUUAUGACGGGAUCCCAGCCAAGCUUUUUCCAUGGAAUUUUAAUACUCAGCUUGCCAACACGACCUAAAAAAGCAAACACAUACAAUCUCAUAAAGAAGAGAAACUUAGAUAUACAAUGUCUGAGAAAACAGCCUAUAGAUGUUCUAUAAGAGACAAAAAUGGUGUAAGUGUUAUAAAGUUCAUCAAGAAGCAUCAAACUCCAUGGGAGUGCACAAAGAUGACCAAAGGCAAAGAAACAAUCAACUUCGAACUAUUUUAAAAUUUCGCUGACAUCCCAUUUAUUCAACAGAAACUAACAUGCAUGCAUUUAGUGGAAUAGAAUUCUGAUGACAAGAAUUCCUGAUUUCAAAAUUUAACUCAAUCAUAUUUCUUUUCCAUUGCCGAAAUAAACUAGAUUAAAAUAAUGUCAGCAAAUUACCAGUAUCAACAAAAAAUAAGUAUUUCCUAAUGUUUUCUACAUUACUUCUCAAACUAAAAUAUAACCAAGUAAUACCAACCAAUGUCCAAAAAUUGGUGAGGCAGGCAACUGAGAACCUUAAUGAGAGCUACAUUCAGUAUGGACAAUUAUAGUAAAUGAGCAGGCUAUAAUAGUGAAGUCUAAGCACUUGGCAGUUGGCAUGGAUAAAAAGCCGAAAGAAUAAAGGUGAUAGGAUGAAGACAGGAUAAGGUGCACAAGUGAAAGCAAAAGUAACAUUAAUUUGCUGUCUUUGUGUAAAAGAUGGAAGGAAGUACCCACAUUUUUCAAUGCGAAGUGGGUUAAAAGGGUUAGCAAUCUCAUGUUGAACGUAAGAUUCAUAGAGCUGGUGUUUUAGUGUGAUGAGACAAGAGGUUGACAGUCACUUACUCAGUGCGAACUGUUCACAAAACAUACAAAUUUCAUUUUUAAAUGGUGGGGAUCAUAUGAUGCCCAACAAUUCCGUACAGCUGAAUGUUAAUGGGAAGUGACAAACCAACACAUAGAUUCAGAUCUGGAUGGAGAGAAAUUGUAGGAUUUCUGAAUGCAAGAUAUUUGUUCUCCUACUUCUGUUAACUUUGUUAUUUUCAUAAAAUUUUUAAUACAAAAUACAUCCCAACAGUUGAGAAAGAUUAGAACGGUAAAGGAUUUCUAAGUUUUACACUAGCCUUUGAAAUCAGUUUCUAUAUUCAAAUUCACCAGAACCUUUGACGUACGGCUCUUCAAGCGGCAUACCUAAAAAAAAAAGGCCCCUAUGGCGACUACCUUUUUUAAAAAACAUUAUACAGUGACUGCCUUACUUAAGCAAUUCUUCUUAUUUUUAUUCUUUCUUAGUUGUAGUUCCUAUACUGGAUUUUUUUCUUUCAGGGUUUCACCAGGAAUUUUCAUUUUAUUUGCAAAUACAAAUUUACUUAUCUGAGAAGAUGAGCAUCUGUGAAUCAGAAUCAUUACCCAAAUUCGAAAGAGCAAAAGAUGAACCGGAAAUUCUGGCACAUAUUUGGUAAUGCAAGUGCAGUGAACUAUUCUCAUGUAUCAGAAUAUUAGAAAAUUUUGUGCAUAGAUAAAGGAAAAUGAUAUCAAAGAUCCCAGGAGAGAAAUUAAAUAUAUCCACUCAUCUCAGCCAGACACAACUUUUGCAAAUGCAGGGGGAUUAUAUUGGAAAUGAUACUUGAGUGAAUGUGUGUACAACAUGGACAAAAGACAACAACUAAAUGAAUUAAACCGUCUGUUUAUCAAUGAUUUCCAUAACCCCGAUAGACGAAAAACAUCUUGGACCUUUGUAGUAGAAGGAUUGCUAGGUUCAAAAAUUUUACCUUGCUUCAAAGCAAAUGGCAAUUGGAGAUAAUCAAAAGCCUCGAGUAUAAGCUCCACAUCUUCUAAUAAUACUUCUUCUGCAUUACAGAGAUCAGAAUUCACUUUUUAAUACUUAUUCAAAUCUAUACAGACAUGAAAAUUGAAGAAUAAAAGAUGCGGAAUAAGAAAUUGGUAUAAGACAUAUAUACUGGACGAAUGGUCAUCCUUUGACUAUGAAAAUGUGAAACAUACAAAUUCAUCUUCUUCUAUACAAGAUACAAGGAUGAAAAGAAAAGGCCCACAAACAGUAUUUUCAUCUAUCCCAAAUACCAAAUGCUGUAGUGUAUUUCUCUCCCUUUUCGGCCAAUAGUGACACAUCCCUUCUCUCUUAAACUUCAAUGACUGCUCAGCGUCGGAACAAAAAGGCAGUCCUAUUCUACCACUUCCUUUCAUCUGUCACGCUCUUUACUCUGACCAAAGUUAUGAGUAUCUCUUAAAAUACCCAGGACACUAACCGCAAGAUAGGACUAUCAAUCACUCGAUUUCCAGCCUGUAAGUGAUUCACCUACUGCUAUACUGUUUGGUUUUUGUAAAACUCUUCCGGAAUACAACUUCAAGUUCUUAGCAUUUUAUACAAACAUAUAUACUAUAGACAAAGUGUCAAACCCAUUAAAUAACCUCAGAGUAAACCCAGAAUUGUGUUGGAAAUCCUAUUACCACCUGACUAGCACUACAGCGAUAUUUGGUGUGUACACUGAAUUCCAUGAUCACCUGUAUAAUCUAUUGAAUUUUCUUUCUCCAUUACAGACAGUUCAUAUUAGCAUAAAACAAGAUGAUAGAUUUGGGUUCAGUUAAGUUACCAUUCCAUAAGGUGAUCUUCAGCUUCUCCUUUUGAAUAUCCUUAAUAUAUUGGCCUAGAUAACCCAAUAUCAGUUGUCUGACGAGGCCUUCAAACAUCGUAGAGCAAAACGAAUGAUCUUGAGUUCCCCACGCACUGCAUACCAAUCCACUGACUGAUUAGGGUUUCUAUGAAAUGCGAAAAACAGACGUUAAUUUGAAAAGUAGACGGAGAACGGAACAAGAAAUUUUCGCCGGAGAAAGAGAGAAAGAACGAUGGCGUUCGAAUGCCAAGACACUGCCUACAAUGAUAUUGGGUCUUAGAAUUGGAACUCCCUACAGCCCAACACCACUUCCCUCAAAUUGGCCCAAGUUUGUAAGUGGGGAAAUCACACAGGCAUAUAACAAGUUAAAAUUUGAGAAAAUUAUGGAGUUAAGUAAAUUUAUACUAUCUAAUUAGUGAUCAUAGUUAUAAUUUAAUAUAAUUAUCACUAGCGAAUAAUAUUAACCAUCAAUUACCUCUUUAUUUGGUUUGUAUUUGUAUACGAUGGUUUGUAUUUGUAUAUGAUAAUGAUUUCCUUUAGUUCUUCAGUUUUUUCACCAUAUAAAUUCAAUCUUUUUGUGUAUAAACGUGUAGUUUUUGAAUUUUAUAUAAUAUAAUUUGUAUAACAUUUAAAGUUCAUAUGUUUAAGUUUGUAUUACUUCAUUAUUUUGAGUUUUACCAUAUCUGUAUAACUUCAAACUUUAUACUAAUUAAUUAUACAAAAACACGCAAAUUAUACAAACGUACCUGCGAAUUAUACAAACGAGAUGUGAAUUAUACAAAUUAUUGUCCUCUCUUGCUCGCCUCUCUCCUCCCUCUCUCGAUAUCGCUCGCCUCUCUCUUCUCUCUCCAAAUAUCGCCCGUCUCUCUCCUCUUGCUCCAAAUCUCAACCGCUACAUAUAUAAAUACAUAUGUAUAAUAUACAAUUAUCUAAUUGAUAUACAUAUACAAUACACCUCUCUCCCACUUUCCGCUCUCUCUCACUCGCCUCUCUCCUUCCUCUCCCAAUAUCGCUCGUCGUUCUCAUCCCUAUAACAUGUAGCUACAACUCCUAAAUAACAAACUAUAGAUAUGGGGCGUAAUUAAGUCAUUUUUGAGUGGCUAGUUCCCUAAAGAAAAUUAGGGAAAACUAAGCAAAUACCCCAAUAAAAGCAAAAUAAUUACAAAUAUAUACCCUUUUCAUACCCCACUGAAUAAUUACACUAUAUACCCACAAUUAAUUUCUCUUAACUGAUACUAAAUAAGUGUCGUAUAAUAUAUUUGUAUAAAUAAGGCUGAUAAUUUAACUUAUUUAAUACUAAAUUAGUAAAUUAAUAUCAUUAAGAUUUCUUGUUUAAAAAUUACUCAUUAGUAAAUUAUACAAUAAUUGAGAAAAUCCACUUGAGAAAAGCAAGUGGCAUAUAAAAAAUAGUUGAGAAAAGCAAGAAAUCUCAUAAGAAGUAAAAAAAAAAUUGACAUAUAAGCGAAAGUACAUCAAAGUUUUGACAAGCCAUUUAUUACUUCAAAGGGAGUGGUCGGGAUGUAACCUUUAGACUACAUACAUAACAUUUAGACUACACACAAAGUCUGAAACUAACACAUACGAAAGCAAUAAAAGUAACAUUGUCCUCGAAUUAUGAUGGUCACCAAGUCUUCAAUCUUGAUGAUGAUUAACUAUCCACGAACGGUAGGAGAGGAAUCGUCACAUCCUAACUCAGUGAAAUAAUGUAGGCACAAGUAUGCAUUAGUACAUGGAACGUACUAAGUAUGAGAGGAAUGUAAUAAAACAUGAGACAUAAUCAUAAAUGGACAUUAUCGAAAACAUGAUAUGCAUGACUAAGCUGGCAUGGUAAAAACUUUCAAAUAGAAUCAUAAUCAUAAACACGGUUAAUGCAUCUUGAAAUCAUAAAAAAAAAAGUUCUAUAAAAUACUUUAAAGGUAACUUAGUUCAUUUUGUGGGAUAUCUAAUCUUAACCGACAUAGACUAUGUGAGUUAUAACAUGAAAUUCGGUGUCUUGAUCCAAUGCCGAAAAGGGAUGUCCAACCUGUCCACAUAAACUUCUAGAAUAUGUGAAUUUCCUAGAUAAUACAUCCUAAGGAGGCACACUGUUAGGGACAAGUAGAUUGCUACUACAGACUCAACCUUUAUUAAUGGAAGAGACUCCAUCCAAUGUCUUUAGGUGCAAGUAGAAAUUCCAACAUAAUAGUCAUAAACAUAAAAUCAUCAUCAUCCAUAGAAAAUUAUAAUCAAGUUACUAAUAAUACAAGUUAGAAACAUCAUAGAGUAGCUCCAUAAACAAUGGUGUGAGAAAACCUUUCACAAUUCAUGAUUUCUUAAGUAUGUGAGAAAAUUCUUUCACAAUUAAUCAAUGCUUAUCUUAAGCAACCUAAAUAAUGAUCAAUCUUGUACGUAAAUCAAGCAUAAGUUUGUAAAAACAUCAUUAAUAGAUUCAUAACUUUUCUUCAAAUUCAUGCAAUUUAGGAUUCAUAAUAAAAAUCAUAAAUCAUACAUGGGUUCACAUGAAAUUAGUUGAAAAGCAUCUAACUGAGUCUCAAUCAUCAAAAUGAAAUCAUAAUCAAUCAAUUGAAUCCAUACAAAUAGAACUCAUAAAGAAUUGAAUCUAAUCAAUUUCAAAAAAUUGAAUUGAAGAAUUAAAGAAACUUUGGAGACUCAAUGGAUAAAUAAAACCUAUUGAUGAUCUCCCUUCAUACCUUGAUUGAAAAACUAGAAAAUGAUGAAUAAAAGAAACUUGAUCUUGAAGAACCCUAGUUUCUUCUUCCUUGAUAUAUAAAGAAGAUUUUUGGAGAGUACCUUGGAGAGAAUUUAGGAAUUAUAAGAAAUGAAACAGUUGGGAAAUUUCUAAGGGUGAUGGAAAAUUAUAAGACAGAUUUAAGAGUACGACGAAUUAGUAUAGGUAUUAAGUACAUAAAAAAGACUCAAAUAUCCUCAAACUAAAACCUAUCAAUGGAGUGAUAUGGAAUUACCUACAGUUCGUAUAACUUUUUACCGACAGUAUUGGUUGUCCAUAGAACUUGAUACUAGACUUAAAAUUAUAAAUAGUUUUCUUUAGUCUAUUUUAUAAUCCGUCUAAAGUUCCACGAACCGUAAACACAACCGUAGAUUCUAUGGACCAAAAUCCUUCCAAAUUUGAAGUCAAGUUCCAUGAGACAAUCUAUGAGUAGAAUCUAUGGACCAAAAUCCUUCCAAGUUUGAAGUCAAGUUCCAUGAGACAAUCUAUGACUCAUGAAAACUUCCACAACCCGUACAACCUUCUGUAUGCCUAAAAUUCAUAAUUUUAACUAAGACUGAAACACCUUCUACAACUCCUUUCCUACGAGUCGUAGAACUUUCUACAAUCUGUAAACAGAACCUAUAAAUUUGGACCAGCGGUCUACAAUGCAUCUUUUCUUUUUUCGAACUGUUACAUCGCAACUAAAAUCACCCCAAUCAAAGCUCCCAAGCUCAAGAUAUCAAGUUUUGAAAAAUAGUUUUAUGAGCUGAAAAUCGAGUUGAUCACAAUAUAACAAGUAAGUUAAAUGACCACUGUGAAUGCAAACACGUGCCCACGAUAGCGGUAGUGUAACUCAGUUAACUCAGCCAUUUUUCUACGAUCGCAGAGUUUAUCUCGUGAAUGUGAAGGGUCAGGGACCUAACCAUCUGCAAACACAGGCCCCAUCUUUUAAAUGCAGUAACCAAGACACUGUAUAUUUACUAAUACAACACCAGGCUCGCGCGGAGAUCAAAAUCAUUGGCCUUUGCGAACAUGACACUAGGUGUGCGAAUGUGAUGAACAUAGAGUGUUGCACCAAUCCACACUUCAAAAUGUGCAAGAUGGCUCGACGGGGCUCAAGAUUGUUCCAUCAUCACCAACCCUAAACCUCUAGCAUAUAUAUUUAUUGAAAGUUUAGAUAUAUAUUCUAAGUUAUUUUUUGGUGAAGCUGCCGAUGGACAAGCACGAGAGAAAAUAUAUGAUGAGUUGGUCCUACUUUUCAAUAGGCUGUCAAUCAAUAUUCAUGAGAAGACUAGUUAAUUGAAUAGAGGUACAUUGAAUAAGGCAACAAAAAUUCUAUUGGUUAAUAUGAUAACUAGUAUAUAGGCACAUAUCGCAUCUAUGAACCACAAGUUUAGUGAGCUCAAUGGUUUUUUUAUGGGUCAGGUGCAAGCUCAAGUUCAUUAAGUUCAAGAAGCUCAAUUAUUCUGCAAAAUCUAUGGAGGUACCCAUACAAUUGAUUUGUUUAUAUCUAAUCAAGAGUUCAUAUAUUUCACAGGCAAUGCAAGUUGAGGUACAACAUUUUAAAAUCUUAGAAAUACCUAUAAUCCAAAUUGGAGGAACCACCUAAAUUUCUAAAAAGGUGCAAAUCAAAAACAAAAUCAAUAUUGACAGUUAGAUAUCACAAUGAAGCAGUAGCAAUUUAAUAGCAAAGGCAAAUUAUAAUAUCUAUUUUGUGAAUUUCUGAAUAAGGAGCUCUUCACUUCAAAAAUUACAAAUGUGGAGAACCAACCUCAAACUUAAGAUACUUAUUUCUUAAAUGGAAUUGAUUAUGUUAGGUUAUUAGCAUUUUAAUAUUAAUAUUUAACAUAUUAAAUUGCUUUAUUUUGGAGUUAUAAGAAUGAACAUUGGAAUGGAUGACUUCUAUAUCAUCCAUUAGCAUUGGUUAUCCAUCAAUGUAUUUCAUUCUUAAUUCCUCCAUUACUCUUUGUAACAUAUGUAACUCCCAUUGUAACCUAUGUAACUCCCAUUGUAACCUAUGAAACUCCUAAGGUCAUUAUCUUCACUAUUUACUACCUCCAUUAUCUUCUUAUUCAUUGCUAGGAAGACUUCUUGUAGUAUAAAUAGUGGUAGUCUUCAUUUGCUUUUAGAUACAUACAAUUCAUAAGAGAAAACAAAGAGUGAAAGAGUUAGUCUAAAAGAGAGUUCUUAUUAGUUGAAGGGAGAUGUUCUUUUUUUAUGGAGCUUUAGACUCAACUCUUGUUCAGAGUUGUUGAGUUAUACUUUGUGAAGGCUGUUGUAUCCUGGAGGGGACAAGUCAAAGAGGACUACUGCUGGAUCGGUGAAAACAUUUGUUGCAGUGGGCUUGAAUCUCCUUAAAUAGAGCGAGAUAUUCGCGCAUCAGCCUGAAGAGAUUACUUUCUUCAUUUUUAUUUUCAAUUUGUAAUCUUGCAAUUUUAUUAUCUUGUAAGUUUUUUCACUAACAAUUUUAAGGAGAAUUCAAUGAUGACUACAAUUGAAAAAAUUGCAGAUGUCAAUAUGGGAGAUCUUAACAAGCCAUUUCGGUUCAAUGGUAACCAUUUCAAGAGAUGGAAUGGUAAAGUACUCUUGUACUUAAGUCUUCUCAAUGUUUCUUAUGUAUUAACUGAGAAGAAUCCAAAUAAAGAAGACAUCACCACUAUGAAUGAUGAUGAAACUAUUUCUCAUCUAGAGAAAGUGGAAAAGUACGAUGGUGAUUCCUAUAAGUGUCGGUAUUAUCUUCUUAAUUGUCUAUCUGAUAAUUUUUAUGGUUAUUAUGAUAGAACUUACUCUAGUGCAAAGAAAAUUUGGAAGUCAUUGCAGAGUAAGUAUGAUACCGAAGAGGCUGGAGCGAAAAAAAUAUGCAGCUAGUAGAUUUUUUCAUUUCCAAAUGGUGGACAACAAAUCAGUGGUAGAUCAAGCUCAAGACUUCAUCAUGAUUGUUGGAGAGCUUAGGUCCGAAGAGGUUAAAUUGGAGAUAACCUUAUUAUUUGUGGCAUAGUGGAUAAACUUCCACCUUCUUGGAAGGAAUAUCAAAAACUAUGCGCCACAAACAAAAGGAAACCUCUCUUGACACCUUGAUAAUGAAAAUCCGCAUGGAAGAAGAAGCAAGGGGCCAAGAUGCACUUUUACAAACAGAAGAGAACAACAUCACAUCGAAGGUAAAUUUAAUUACUUCGAAUAAUGCUACUCCUGAAACUCACAAAAAUACCUCUUUAAAGCCUAAGAAGAACAAAUUCAAGAAAAAUAAUGGUAGACCUCCCAAGAAAAAUAAUGGUGAAAAUCAACAAGUUCAAGAAAAGGGACCAUGCUUUGUUUGUGGCAAGAGUGGGCAUAUUGCUCGAUUUUGCAGAUUCUGGAAACAUGGUCCUAACCCUCAGGCAAACGUUAUCGAAGAACCUUUUUGUGGCAGUGAUUAUCGACAUAAAUAUGGUUGAGAAUGUUGAUGGAUGGUGGGUUGAUUCUGUUGCAAACCGUCAUGUCUGUUAUGACAAAGACUGGUUUAAAAAUAUACUCAUUUUGAGGAGCCCAAAACCAUCAUGCUUGGUGAUUCUCACACUACUCAAGUGCUUGGAAAUGGAGAUGUUGAAUUGUGUUUUACUUUUGGAAGGAUAUUAACAUUGAAAGAUGUACUUUAUAAUCCUUCUAUGAGAAAAAAUUUGAUGUCUAGUUUUCUUCUUAAUAAAGCAGGCUUUAAACAGAUUAUUGAAUCUGAUCAAUAUGUAAUAGUGAAGAAAGGUAUUUUUGUGAGGAAGGGGUAUGUAUGUGAUGGGAUGUUUAAGUUGAAUGUUGAAAUGAAUAAAACUUCUACUUCUGUUUAUAUGCUUUCUUCUACUAAUUUUUGGCAUGCUCGUUUAUGUCAUAUUAAUGAUCGUUAUGUUGGACUCAUGAGUAGUUUAGGAUUAAUCCCAAUGGUUAAAAAGAAUUUUGAAAAGUGUGAGGCUUGUAGUAAAGCCAAGAUCACUAAAAGGCCUCAUUUUCAAGUUGAAAGAAAAACUGAUUUGUUAGAAUUAGUUCAUACUGAUAUUUGUGAACUUGGUGGAAUUCGAACUCGUGGAGGUAAUAGAUAUUUUAUCACUUUCAUUGAUGAUUUUUCUAAGUUUACAUAUCUUUACUUGAUGAAAAAUAAAAGUGAUGCUUUUGAAAAUUUCAAAACUUAUCUCAAUGAGGUUGAAAAUCAGUUUGGAAGAAAAAUAAAAAGAAUUAGAAGUGAUAGAGGUCAUGAAUAUGAUUCAAAUGAGUUUAAUUCUUUUGUUAGAUCAUUGGAAAUAAUUCAUGAAACUACUCCUCCUUACUCUCCUUCGUCUAAUGGAGUAGCAGAAAGAAAAAAUAGAACUUUGGUUGAAUUGACUAAUGUCAUGCUUAUUGAGUCACAUGCACCUUUAAAUUUUUGGGGUGAAGCUAUCUUAACUGCUUGUUAUGUAUUGAAUCGUGUGCCUCAUAAAAAGUCUAAAUUGACACCUUUUGAAUUGUGGAAAGAUUACAAGCCAAGUUUGGGAUAUCUAAGAGUUUGGGGUUGUCUAGCCUUUGUGAGACUAAUGGAUCCCAAGAUUACAAAGUUGGGUAAGAGAGCAACUACUUGUGCUUUUCUUAGUUAUGCUUCAAAUAGCACAUCCUAUAGAUUUUUUAAUCUUGAAGAUAAUAUUGUAAUAGAAUCUGGUGAUGCUAUUUUUCAUGAAAAUAAAUUUCCUUUUGAUACUAAAAAUAGUGGGGGUCAAAGGAUUGAACAAAAUAUUUUGUCACUACCUAGUUCUUCUACUUCAACUUUGAAAAAUAAAGAAGUUGUUGAUUUUGAUUUAAGAAGAAGUAAAAGAGCUAGAGUAGAAAAAGAUUUUGGUCCUGAUUUUUAUGUGUUUAAUGUUGAAAAUGACCCCCUAACUUUGAAAGAAGCAUUAUCUUCACAUGAUUCUAUUUUUUGAAAAGAGGCUGUAAAUGAUGAAAUGGAAUCUCUAAUUUCUAAUAAAACUUGGAAGUUAGUUGAUUUACCACCGGGUUGUAAAACAAUUGGUUGCAAAUGGGUCUAAGGAAAAAGUUGAAACUGGAUGGUUCUAUUGAUAAAUACAAGGCUAGGCUAGUUGCAAAAGGUUUUAAACAACUAGAAGGCCUAGAAUUUUUUGAUACUUUUUCUCCGGUAACAAGAAUUACAUCCAUUAGACUUUUAGUUGCUAUAGCUGCAAUUUUUGAUUUGCAAAUUCAUCAAAUGGAUGUAAAAACUGCAUUUCUAAAUGGAGAUCUAAAUGAAGAAAUUUAUAUGGAUCAACCCGAGUGUUUUGUUGAAGCAGACCAAGAAAGCAAAGUAUGUAAACUUACUAAAUCCCUAUAUGGUUUGAAACAGGCACCAAAGCAAUGACAUGAAAAGUUUGAUUCCUGCAUGAUUGAAAAUGGUUUUAAAACAAAUGAGUGUGAUAAGUGCAUAUAUUAUAAGUCUUGGAAUAAUUCACAUGUGAUCAUUUGCCUAUAUGUUGAUGAUUUGUUGAUCUUUGGCUCUAACAUGAAUAUUAUUGAUGAAGCUAAAAAUGUUCUUAGAAGCGAUUUUGAUAUGAAAGAUCUUGGUGAGACAAAUUUUAUUCUUGGAAUAAAAAUAACAAGAACAUGUGAGGAGAUUUUCCUUGACCAGUCACAUUAUGUUGAGAAAAUUUUGAAAAAAUAUAACUUUCAUGAUUCCAAACAUGUUGCUACUCCUUUUGAUUCAAGUGUUCGUUUAUUUCCUGUUGAAAGUGAAAAUGAUGUAAUAAAUCAAAAGGAAUAUGUUAGUAUAAUCGGAAGUUUGAGAUAUGUGACUGAUUGCACUAGGCCUGAUAUUGCAUAUGCAGUAGGAGUACUUGGCAGGUUUACAAGCAAGCCAGGUAAUGAACAUUGGCAUGCUAUAACAAGAGUUAUGAGAUAUUUGAUUAGAACAAAAAAUUAUGGUUUGUUCUAUAAAAAAUAUCCUGCUGUACUUGAAGGCUUUUGUGAUGCGGAUUAGAAUACUUUGUCAGGUGAUUCCUGUUCUACCACUAGUUAUGUCUUUACUUUAGGUGGUGGUGCUGUUUGUUGGAGAUGAAAAAAGCAAACUAUAAUUGCUAACUCUACCAUGGAGGCUGAACUAAUUGCUUUAACUUCAGUUAGUGAGGAAGCGAAUUGGUUAAGAGAUUUAUUGUUUCAAAUUCCUUAUUUGAAAAAUCAAUUCCUCCUAUUUCAAUUGAUUGUGAUAGCACCGCUGCAAUUGGUAGGUUCAAAACCGUUAUUACAAUGGUAAAUCCAGACCUAUAAGGAGGAAACACAGUAAUGUAAGAUCUUAUUUGACAAAUGGUACCAUUAAUGUUGAUUAUGUCAAAUCUUAUGAUAAUCUUGCAGAUCCUCUUACAAAGACCUUAACAAGAGAAAAGGUCUGGAGCACAUCGAGGGGGAUGAGAUUGAAGCCUACAAAUCCUUGAGUCAUAUAUGAGGAAACCCAACCUGGGGACUAGAGAUCCUAUAACCAGGUUCAAAGGGAAAAACUAAUCAUAUGAUGACUUGUUGUGAAAAAUGCACUUUUUUUUCCCUCCCUAUGAUGUGAGUGCAUUAUUUCUUGUAGUUUGUGAAGGUUGAGUUGAUAAAACUCUUAAUGAAUAUCUGUAGCCCGUAUGGGUGGAGUGUUAAUCUUACAGGAGCACUCUCGAUAGAUUUCAACUAUGUGAUGUGUGGAAGUAGGCCGCUUCCUAUGAGAAUGGGGCUUAUUCUCAAAUGCACUCAUGAAACCGGGAUAACACAUGGCCAUAACGUGCUGGCUGUUAAAUCUCAUGUCAACACCUUGAUUAUUAUGUGUGAGCAGUGAUAUUUUAUUUCCCUUAAGCAGUCAUAGUUCAAGUCUGAGACCACUACGACUCUGGAGUAAAAGUUACUAUUUCACUAAGUUGAGGUUAAAUGCAGAGCACACCUUCAUUAAGCAUAGUAGUAUUUCUUCAACUGAUAUACUCUCUUAUUUAAAUAUUAAAAUGAGUGGGGAUUGUUAGGUUAUUAGCAUUUUAAUAUUAAUAUUUAACAUAUUAAAUUGCUUUAUUUUGGAGUUAUAAGAAUGAACAUUGAAAUGGAUGACUUCUACAUCAUCCAUUAGCAUUGGUUAUCCAUCAAUGUAUUUCAUUCUUAAUUCCUCCAUUACUCUUUGUAACAUAUGUAACAUAUGUAACAUAUGUAACUCCCAUUGUAACCUAUGUAACAUAUGUAACUGCCUACGAAACUCCUAAGGUCAUUAUCUUCACUAUUUACUACCUCCAUUAUCUUCCUAUUCAUUGCUAGGAAGACUUCUUGUAGUAUAAAUAGUGGUAGUCUUCAUUUGCUUUUAGAUACAUACAAUUCAUAAGAGAAAACAAAGAGUGAAAGAGUUAGUCUAAAAGAGAGUUCUUAUUAGUUGAAGGGAGGUGUUCUUUUUUGUGGAGCUUUGGACUCAACUCUUGUCCAGAGUUGUUGAGUUAUACUUUGUGAAGGCUGUUGUAUCCUGGAGGGGACAAGUCAAAGAGGACUACUGCUGGAUCGGUGAAAACAUUUGUUGCAGUGGGCUUGAAUCUCCUUAAAGAGAGCGAGAUAUCCGCGCAUCAGCCUGAAGAGAUUACUUUCUUCAUUUUUAUUUUCAAUUUGAAUCUUGAAAUUUUAUUAUCUUGUAAGUUUUUUCACUAACAGAUUAUGUAGUAAAUUCAUUGAAUUUGAGCACUCAAAAUAAGUGUUUAAGAGACUAGAAUUGAAAAUUCUAAAUCUAAAUUAUAAUUUAAAAACAACUAUUCAACUUUACAAAUGAUAUUCAAAUCAAAAUUUGAUAUAUGGAAUUAAAUUUUCUAACUAAUAGGUAAAAUGUUCUUAUACUUUGAAUUUUCAAACUGUUAAUGUGAGGGGCUAAUUUGAAUUGAUAAAAACUAAAGUUUUGACGCUAAGGUGUUUUGAAAUUAUAUUUUUUCUACAGAAAUUCAGAUUGAAUAUUGCCAUUUUAAAUAUAUUAAGGCCACUAGUAUACUCGUAUUAAAUGCUUCGCACGAUAAUAAAAGGUUAAAAUAAUUUUUAGCAAUCUUUCUUUUUAUUGGACAAUUGUUAAAUGUGAAGCUCUAUAAAAAUAAUGUUAAUCCUGAACAACUUGUUUAAAUCAAUAUAAAAUCUAGUUAGUUUAUUUGUCUGUUAAAACAUAAGUUAAUCAAACUUAUAUUUGUCAAAUUAUUAUUGUAAGAUGCAAUAAAAGAGGUUGAUAUUUUAAAUUAGAAAGAAUUCGUAGAUGAAUAAUAUAUUUCAUUAGGAGCUUAAUACAAAAGUUUGACAUUGACUUUGAAAACUAGUAAUAAUGUUUACAAGUUCGCUUUUUCGUUUUGAAUCAUAUUAUGAACAAUUAAAACACUCCUCAACACCUGAUUACCCUCUCAAAUCAGUUUGUAUUUUCGAUAUUUCGCUAUUAACCUCCUUAAAAUUUAAAGAACAUUCUAAACUGAUUGGAACAAAAUAUUCAAUUUCUUAUCGCUCUAUGAUGGAAAUAGACAUAUACAAUUAAAGUCAACACUAAAAUAGAAUUUUAAGGAACAAAAAAGAAGAGAAAGUAAGGAGGUGUAAUUAAAAAAAUAAUAUAUUUUAAGUUUUGCAAAAAAUUACAUAAUGAAAAAUAGAGUAGUGGAAGAAAAAAUUGAAGAGAAAAUUACAAUAAUAAUAAUUUGUGUCACUUACAAAAAUAGCUAUACUUUUAGGGUUUAUUAGAGUGAAAUAGCUAUAAAUAUAAUAUUUUUUCAAAAAAAUAGCUAAACUUUGGGUUAAAAAAUGUUCAAGUCUAUAAAUAUUUCAUUUUUUAAAUACAAAAAUACAUUCAAAAUAGUUUCCCACUAAAUGAGGUUAAAUUAGUUAUUGUAACGGACAAUGCUAUUUUCAGCCCUUAAAAUCCACUAACUUGACACUUUAAAAAAUUGUAACUAACCUAUACCUAGGAUUCUGAUCAUUAAAAAAAAAAGAUUCUGAUCAGUUUAGAAAUAGAAAUUAUGUUCUUUUUUUUCUUCUUCAUUUAACGCCAAAAAUAAAAAUACAAUUUGAUGGCUACUAUUAAUAUUUUGAUCCAACAUUUCGAGAAAUAGAGCGAAGAAAAUUGUUGUGUAGAAUAUAUCAUUGAUGGGAUAAUUGAAGGAAUAUGCCUCUUAUUCUGAUUUAGUUGAUUUUAUUUCAAUACGAUUGAACAUCAAUCUUACAAAAAAAGUUUUUGAAAAUUAAAUUUCAUUGUCGAAGGUAACGACACGCCUAUGAAAAUAAGUAAUGCGGGUAUGCGUAUAUAUGUUUAGUUGAAAAAUAUCAACACUCAAUUUGGAGUAUAUCUCUUGUAUGUAAGUAUUUUUCAUAUUGAUAUAGUAUAUUUUGAUUCUGAAGAUACUUUCAUUUAAGGUGAAGUGUUGCAACUUGAAUACAAUAAAGAAUUAAUUGGUAUGAAUGAUACAUUGUCAAUUGUUUCAACUUGUAGCGAUCAACCAAUAGAUGUAUUUGAUGGUGGAAAUGAUUAAUUACUAACCGAUCGCAACAUGAGAUAAUGGUGGAUCAAAUAUACAUGAAUAAGUUGACAUUGAAGGAUGUGAUAGAAAAAUAUUCAAUAGAAAAAAGGAUUAAAUUCUUGGUUGAGAGGUCAAACUCUAUUAGGUAAACUGUUGUUAAAUUUGUUGCAUUUUAAGUAUACUUAUGUUUGUAGAUGCAAAGAAAAACUAGCAAAAAAAAUAAUAUUGUAUUCACAGUUAUACCCUUGUAUGUCACUCUAAAAAGUACGCAUUGUUGAUGAAAGCAUUAAGUAUUAACAAGUCGAAGAUGGUCAAAGUUAAAAAUUUUAACUCUGAACAUUCAUGUCCUUUAAAGGAUGGGGUGCAUUCUGAUUGUCGUGCAACAAGUGGAUUGAUUGGAGGAAUAAUCACACCUAAACGGAGGAAUCACAAGAGUAAGUACAUUCCAAAUGAUAUCAUGAUGACAUUAUAUUGGACUUGGGUAUUGAUAUUAACUAUAUGUUGGCAUAUCAAGCAAAAGAGAAAGGCAUUGUAAUCAAUAAUGGGGAAACCAACUUCGUUUUAUGGGAAGCUACUUCGGAUAAGACGUGUUCUAGUUCAUAUAUUCGAAUGAAGAAGCCAAACUUGCAUGGAAAGAGGUAUACCAUCCAUUUUUUAAUACUUUUUCUUGGCAUCCAUUUUUUUGCUAUGCUUUUGACUAAUUUGGAGAAAACAUCUUAACUCAACUAGAUCAAUUUGUAUCUUUGAAAUCGAUGAGCUCUUCUUCUCACCAUAAUUGAUGAACGUAUUGAUAAAAUAAAAUAUUACGAAUUUGGCAUCAUCAUCAUCAAUCCCAUCACCCGGCGAUACCUUUUUUUUGUACUCACUGAUCAACUUUACCUUCCUGUUAAUACUUUUAACUCAAUAGUACUGAUUGAUUAAUUUAUUCAGCUCGUUUGUGUCAAAUAAAAAUCGUCUUCAUGAGCAAAGCAAUUCAACCCAGUAAACAAAGUGUGGUAUGAUUUAUACGAAAGAACAUUUCAUCCAUGAAACUGUCCUCCAAUUCACAUAUUGAUCUUAGGCGUAUUUAUAUGCCUAACAACCAUUUUUAUCUCUUGUAUAUAUAGCCGAGUGAGAAUAUUUUCGAUGGUUGAGUCAAGCAUUUAGAGUCGUUUUGAUUCUGCAUCUUCUAACCAAUAUGAUUAGAUGUUUCAGGCCGAAGAUCAUUGGAAAACGAGCUAAAUUUGGGCACCAGAUUAAAGGUUGGAAAGAAGAAGAAGAAGUGGCAAAAACAAAAAACCAAGAAGUUGAAAAGUGCACUAGCAUCCGUGUCGCGGACGCACUCCCCCCAAGUAGUGAAGGAGCUCCUCAUAACAGGGGAGUUCGCGGUGUGGGUGCGUCGCGGAGGCAGAUCAAUGAUGCAGAAAAGGAACUCCCCCAUAAUAGGGGAUUCAGUGAUAGAGUGGGUCGCGGGGGUCGUUACACUAAUGAGCAGAAUCAAGCGAGGGAAUACGUCUGCGGUUGCGGACCUGGACAUGAAAAUCGUCCCACGUGUUUAUUUUGGACUAUAAAUAGUUUAAGUAUCUCGUAUUGCAUACUAUACUUUUAUUAAAAAAGGAAGCUGAGGCAAAAGACGAUUUUUGUACUAAAUUUUAGGGUUUUUCUUAUCCUUCUUCAUCUUGGUAAAGACUUGUAUGAUUCUAAUACAUUCCAUGUUGUUAUUUUGUAUUAUGAGUAGCUAAAAUCCCUUGUUCUAGGGUUGUAGCUAUGAAUGAUGGUUUAAUGUGAAUUUGUUUCUUGUGUGAGAAGGGUUGUUGUCUAUUUUUUGCUUGCAUGCUCAUUUCAUUAUUUUAAUGUCUGAUCAACAUUAGAAUAAAUUAGUGUCCACUCUUGAAUUCGGAAGAUGAAUAGAUGGAUAGAGAAAAAAAUGCAAGAGGUAUAUUCAAUCUAGAGUGAGUUCUAAAUUGUUUUGUGGGUAGGAUAGUUUUAUACUUAUGCACCACAUUUGGUUGAAAUGCAAGAAGAAUAUUUAGUGCAAUAUUAUUUGUUCAUACUUAACCCCGCCUGACGAUGUAGUUAUGUUUUCAAUAAUGGUAGACGAUUAGAAGUCGAAAGUUUAUGAUCGUAAGAUGAACCUUGCCAACCCGCAAUGAGUUAACCCUUUGAACCUUGGAAUAGGAACACAUUGAAACCCUGGGAUGUCUUUCCAACUUGUGAAGUUACUUUGUUGUCAUUUACGUAUAGUAGUUAAUUCUUGUUAAGGUUUAAGUAGUAGUUUAAACAAAUUUCUCAACCUAAUGAAUAUUGAGUGAAUUUAGAUAGUCAUUGUAAAUUGUUAUUCGCUGAUUUAAAGUCCCUUGGGUACGAACAUUAAACUCGAAAGAGUCCAUUUACUACUUGAGUGAUCAAUGCACUUGCGUGCGAUUUUGGAUGCAACACAUAUCAUCAAAGACCUAAAGAUUUGUGUUGCACCCCACACACGUGCAUUUUGGUAUAUGCUCCAAUACAUGUAUCUUUGAAUAGGUUGAAUUGGGUCAGUGUAAGCUUCCCCUUCAAAUCUGUAACUAUGUUAUGGUUCACAUAAACCUACACGUGCGAGGAUUCGAUCGUGCUAGCUAACACAUAAAAUUUGAUACCUUGUCAUUAGGAAAUACUAAAAUAUGAAACAACAAUUUUUUAACAUAAGUAAUUGCUUAGUAAUUUGAUUUUAUGCAUACAUACAAGACAACACAUUCAAAUAGAAGAUGCAUUGACACAAAAUAAAAUUGAUGCAACUAAUAAUUUGAAAUGUAUCCACAUAUUCAAUUAAUUAUCAGUUAACUUUAUUCUUUUCCAAAAUAAGAAUUACUACAUAACCCGAAAUACACUAGAAUGUAUUCAAAUUGUUAGUUGAUAUAUAAUCUUUCCAUUCCAUUAAAUCACAUUAACACUUCAUACAUUCACACACACGUUCUCACGCAAAAUUAAAUGAUUAUUAUUAUGCACCAAAUACUCAGACAAAUAGCAGAAAACUGUUGAUAUGCAUAGAUAACUUAACUACCAUUUAACUACAAUCGUGUUUUUUAAAUAAAGAAAAAAAUAAGCACACCAUAAAUAUUCAAUGGUUAUAUGUUUGCCACAAUAUACUAAUUUGGAAGGUAUAUCCUCCACAUAAACUUACUUGUUCAACUUACACUACAUUCAUAUGACUACACCUUACUACAAUCAAUUUUAGAAAACAUAAUGACAACAUAACUCUAAAUACACUAGAGAGUAUUCAAAAAUGUGAAGGCAUUCAAAUAUAAAUGAAGGUAUUCAAAGUAUAAUUUUAUGUCACUGUAGACACAUAAAUUGUAUUAGAUCAAAUUCAUACAAAAUUUGAAUUAAAUUUAUGCUCAUUUGAGCUAAAUAAUUAAUUUGGGCUAUACAAAUAAAUAAGUCCAUCUUAAUGAAUUCAAAUUCAAGGUCAAUUUCACCUUGAAGCCCAAACUCAUGUCACGUGUCACAGUGACUAGGCAUCCAAGACCAACAAGGUGAGCCACGUGUCAAAAUGAGGUGGUAGUCCCAGUCAAAUGCAAGAACAAAUCAAAAUACGCCAAGUGUCAAAAUGACAUCCUUUGGUCAAUCACAAGCAACCUUGUUCACUCCCUACAACUAUAAAUAUGUCAUAGACAUGACAUUCAAGGGGGAUCCACAAAACUCUUCAAUAAGCAUUAAGCGAAUUGGAGAAAGCUACAACAUCAACAUCAAUAAUUCUUAGAAGGAGUGAUCAACGGAGUUCUUCCCGGAGAUCAACUUACAACGACGAAGCACUUUCCGACGUCCUGGAGAUCAACAACAUCUCAAGGAGGUCUAUGACUGUCACAAACUGCAAGUAUACCCUAGAAGUUAGAGAGUCCUUGUGCCGUCACACGACAAUGAGACUUCAAGAAGUCUCAUCUAAGCCUCUCGUAUCAUUCUUUACAUAAUAAACAUACUAAAAUAAGUAAGAAUUUAAAACAUUCUUCACACACGAAGAACUCUUUCAUAAACAUUACACAAGCGGAAGACUUUCAUUUAAAACAUUAAAUCUUUACAACAUCUACUCGAACCAUCUAAUCUUUAGAGUAUAAAACACUUGGGACUAAUCCCAUACAGGACAAUAAAAUAAAGACUAUGGCAUAGAGUAUAAAACACUUGGGACUAAUCCCAUACAGGACAAUAAAAUAAAGACUAUGGCAUUAUAAGGGACAAGAGGAUAUUGUCCUCGAAUCAAUGAGGACUCACUAAUACUUUAUUUUCAAGCUUUAGAAACCUAUCCAUCCUCUAUGGAACUUCCAGUUCCCUACAGUUUAGUCAAAAAGGGAAAAAAAGGGGUUAGCACAUUAGAUGUACUAAGUCUAGAAGCCAUGCAAAAACCAUGAAAAAGGUACAUUUAGUAAAUAACAUGCUUUUCAUGAAUUUCGAUUAAAACGUCAUACUAUAAGCAUAAAAACAGCAUUUAACAACUUAGAAACACAUAAGAUAACAUUUAAACCAAAUAUCAUAAUUUUAGAGUCACUUUACAGUAACUCCAUUCAAUGUUACGGUGAAGUCCCUUCACUAUAUAGUGAAGUUGCUUAUUCAUUAUCUUAGACAUAUUCUAGCAUGUAAUCAUCCCACUUAAAGUCAUCCUAAGACUCACUUAAACAACACAAAGAGAGACCGCCUAUAAAACCUCCCUAAGCAUGCCUAAAUGAUCCUCAAGACUACUUAUAAUGAGUCACAUACACACUUACAAGACAUCAAACAUAUCAACAUAUAGAUAAUAUGACAUUUCCUCAUCAAAAGAUAUCAAAAGACUUACUUAAGUAGAUCAAGAAGAUAAUGUCCAUGGUUGACCUCUUCAAGACUACCUAAAUAAUCCUUAAGACUUCCUAAGUUUGGAUAAUGUCCACAUAAACAAUCAUCUUCCCUAACUAGAGUUAUUUUUAAGACUUAUCUAGGUAAGAUAAGAAGUGACCAUUCCUAUGCCCCUUUCAUGCCUUAACUAGAUAACCCUUAACUACUCUAGAUAAGUACUUAUUGAUUUUAACAUACUUUUUUAACUUAGGUCAUUACAUUCAUUAGAUAAUUUAGAAGACAUUCAACACAUAAAGGACAUUCAAGUAAUGGUCUUGGUCAAGACCUGGGUACUCCAACUAACACCUUCAAAACCUAUUGUGCAAUGUCUAGAUAGCAGCCCAUACCACCACCUAAACUUCAUAGAACUUCUCUAAUGUAAUAGGUAUCCCAUAUGAUGAGAAUAGAAAAUAAUCGAUAUAGACCAUGAUAGCUAGAUAUGGAAUUCAGAGUUCUAACCUUCUACGAUGAAGGUGUCCUACUUGCCAAGGGUAAAACUAGGACACAUCCCAUGUAGGCACAUGGUUAAGGAAUAUGAAGGGUUGUUAUGCACUCUGGUCUCAUUCUCAAGUAGAGGUGCAUUGUACUCUAGUCUCAUUAUCAAGUAGAGCUACUUCCCAUAACAUAAUCACUCAGUGCUAGUGUUGGUUAUCAUAGAGUAAUUGACAUUUAAGGAUCACAUGAAGAGGUUCUUAUCUAUUUCAUAACCCAAUCACAUUCACACCUACCAAAGAGGUCCACUAGGGCUACCUUUCAAUGGCGACUAAGAUAGCUCAUUAUGAUUUUUUUAAGGAUUAAUAUGACGUCAUUCCAGACAAUUAACCUUAAGUCCACCAUUUCUUUACAUGAAGGAUACAUUACGACUCUCGACUUCAACAUUCAUAACAUAACCCUUACCAUGUACAUGAACUUCUUAACAUCCUCUAAGGUCUCACAUAUAUUUCAUUCAUACAUGACAAGGGUGCAAUAAUCCUACCUAGUCAAGACAUAUCAUAAUCUAAUAAAAUUAAUUCAUAUAUCAAGUAAGGGACACAAGUCUACCAAACAAGACACAUUAUUUUUUUACCUUAUCACAUAUAGCAUCAUUCUUUAAAGCACUUAGGAUGACCCUUACCAUUUUAUGUCACCUUAUACUAAUGCAACAUCAUUAAUAUAACCAUUAUAGACUCAUAUAGUCAAGUAGGAGCAAUCAUCAUCAACUCUAAGACUACACAUAUAAGCACAUAGUCAUAGUCUAACAUGAUCUCCUAAUAUACAUCAAACUUUCACAACACUAUCAUGUAGGUAGAUAUGACCAUUAUUCACAUAAUCAACUUCACAAUUCAUCAUAAUACUUCAAGUAGUUUGCCAACAAGGCUAUGAUCAUUAUAUUACUUAAAAUAACGCCGACAAGGCUACAUCAAUUACAAGUAAAGCACAUAACACCACCACCAUAAGUGAAACAUACCAAUCACAACAUAAUUGAAGUCUAAUCACAUCAAAAAUAAAAGAAAUAGGGAAGCCUACCACCACAACAUGCUCAACACCUCAAUUUGAUGCUAAAUCAUCCAAUUCAAUACCAUAAGGCCCUUACCAAUGGCCAUGAACAAUAAUUCAUUAUAGAAACUAUGAUAAUCAAUGAAACUAGGUCAAUUCAAUAAAGAUUCAUCAAUCUAAUACCACCUAGAUAUCAAUUUAAUACAAUUCUUGCAUCAUUAGAUAAUUCACAGAAAUCUACACUAUAAUUCAUAAUCAUUAAAUCAACAUCAAGUAACCCAUAACAUAGUCAAAAUAUAGGGUUCAUCCAAUUCAUGGGUUCAUAGGUAAUUUAGGUUAAAAUCGUCAAUACAAUAACAAUUUAAUCCAUAAUAAACGUUUAAAAACAAUUGAUGCAAAAACCCAUGGUAGAAUCAUAAAAUUGGACAAUUUAACUUUGAAAACUUUAGAAAUCAUCUUUGAAAUUGGCUCUAAGGUGAUAGAAAGCCUUAGAUGAAGAACUCUCAUACCUUAUUUGAAGAAACCAAUGAAAAUUGAAGAAGAAACUCCACUGAAGAACCAUCUUCAAGCUCCAUUUUCACCUUGAACUCUCAUGGAGGUCUUUGAAGAAACUUUGGGAGGGAAUGUGUUUUGAUUUAGGUGUUACGGUUAUAAUGAGAGUUAAAUGACUUAUAUAUUCUUAAAAUACCCAUAAAAACACAAAACAACCGUGCUCACAUCUUACAAAAAUUAGGGUUUUACAAUUUCACCCCUUAACUUAACUGAAAACUGGCAGGAAACAAACAUCACCAUCGAUGGUCCGUGGUCUCACCCACACCCCGUCGAUGGGGUCUCGUGGGUUGCACCUGCAACUCCUCAACCUUUAGGACAAGUGGGUCCAUCGACGAGACCCAUCGACGGGUCGUUUCCUGGUCGACUGGCCGUGUUUGGGUCAGUCGAUUGCCAUUGCCUGGCAAUGUUGAGCUCUAAGUUGGGGCCUCUUUUAGGGUCCCUUGUGGGUCCUAAAGUUUUACCUGGACGUUUCCAACCUAAUUAUGUUCUAUACGAUUUUAGGAUCUACCACGUGAGUUUUUUCCAAAACGAACACGUAAAACUCAAUGAAACAUGCAUAGACAUGCAAGGUCGUUUCAAGGCAAGCCUUUUGAACGUCAUGGACGUUAUUAAACGUUUGACCUCCAAACUUCAUGAAACUUGACACACGGUCUAUAUACACUAUAAUAACUCAUUUAAGAACCUUAUAACCUUAUGAAUCACACGUAAACACAUAAAACCACAUAUGAGGCACAUAGGUGACUUAGUCAUCGAACGUCUUGGUCGUCCCUUGACGUUUGACUUCCAAAGCACCUAAACUCUUAGAAAAUGACUCAAACCCACAUUAUAAACCAUUUAGGACCUUAGACAAUCAUGAAAACUAUGUUAGGAUCUAGUUUCACCUAAGUCAUUUUUGGGGUCUUACAAUAAUUCUCAUACGAUGAUCAUAAGUGCAACAUCUAAGGGCAAACUUGCAUCUGUAUUCUUUGAACAAUCUUCUCAAAUUAGCUCCAACUUUGGUGAUUCCGAAGAUUCAAUGGAUUCUCCAACUUCAAUGUAUUUCAAUGCUUUGAUGGCUGACUUAACUAACAUGGAUGAGAAAUUUGUGAUGAUGGAGCAAACCAUUGAGGCCUUGAAGAAAUUCGUUGAUGAUAAAAAUCUUCAUAUUGCUCAACUUAUGAACAAGUUGGAGCCUUUAUGAGUAGUUUUAUCAAAGAACACAUUGUUACUUAUUUAAACAAGUUUCAAACUAAGGGCCCGUUUGGAUGGACUUAAUAAAAGCAGCUUUAAAAAAGUACUUUUAAAAGUGCUGAAACUUAUUUUUAAAAUAAGCAGUUAUGCGUUUGGAUAAAAGUGCUGAAGUUGUUAUGUCAAACGUGAAAAGGGAAAAAUAGAAGAAAGAGAUGUUAGGGUUAUAUGGGUAAUUUGGAGAUUGUAUAAGAAUAUUAAGGGAAAAAACAUAAAAAUGUGGUCAACUUAAAACAGCUUAUAAGCUAAAAAAAAAAAGCACCCCUACCCCAGCUUUUAACUUUUGGCUUAAAAUAAGUUUUUUUUAACUUAAAAUAAGCUAUUUUGAGUAUUGCCAAACAGUUAAAUAAGUCAAAAACGAGGUUUUAAGUCAGUUUGACCAGCUUUUAAGCUGAGCCAAACAGGCUCUAAGUAAAAUAGUUUUAUAACUUUGGUCUAUAUUUAUCUUGUUCAUAUUUUAAAAUUGAAUCACCGUCUAAUUUUGAAAAUCGCAUUUGAGAACUUGAUUUAAAAUCAUAGUAGGAUAAAAGUUCAAAUAAUCUUUUGAGAAACAGAUUUAAACACCUCAAAAGAUUUAUAAAUACACAAUUACUAUUAUCGUCUAAGUUUGAAAACCACAUUUGAGAACUUAAUUUAAAAUCAUAGUAGGAUAAAAAUUCAAAUAAUCUUUUGAGAAACAGAUUUAAACACCUCAAAAAAUUUACAAAUACACAAUUACCAAUAGACUAAAAUAUUUAGCUGAAAUUAUUACUCUUUAUUUACGUGGAGAUACUUUCUAUUUCUUUUUUAAUUACUUGUUAAAAUUUUAUGAUUAGAACAUUACUUUCUAUUUUUUUUUCUUUUUAAAUUUUUUAUCUCUUGAUUUUUUGUCAUGAACAGACUUUUUCUUCAUAUUCAAUACAUUGCGUAAUUUAAUUUUUAUAUUGCAGCACGUUAAAUAUUUGAGAAGAAAAAUAACAUUAUGACUUAAUUUCAUACAUUUGUAAAUUUAUAGAUCUUGAUUUUUUAUUUUAAUUUAUAUUUUGUGUCAUACAUUUAUUAAGAUUUGAGAUAUAUUAAGUCUCCAAAUUUAGGGGCUUUAAUAUUUUCUUAAAAUCAAUUACUUCCCAAGAGAAAAUCUUAUAAAAUUAUGGUGAUUCUCUUUAUGUUUUAAUACAUUCUUACUUAAUUAUUUUAGAUUAUAAAUAAAAUCCUUUAAUCAUACUAAAUGUGUUAAAAAUCUUAGAUCGGUUUUGUGUAGUUAUACUUUAUUUUAAUAAAUCCUUAUAUAUACAUUUGUUUUUGAAAUCAUUAAUGUUGUGACAGUUCUACUUUCUAUUCUCUUAUGUUUUUAUAUAUAUUGAAAUCGUCAAGAAGUUAUUCUAUAAGUAAUUGAAAUCAUCAAGAAGUUAUUUAUAAGUAAGCAAGAGUUUUAAUGACAACUUUAUUUUUAGAUUUACUUUAAAUGUAAAUAAUAAAAUAUCUCAGGUGAAACUAAUGAUUUUCAUUUGGAAGAGUUAUGCAUCAAAGUAUUAAUUGCCGAAAUUUGAAAUUUAAAUCUUAAUUAUAUUUUUAUUUGGAAAUUUUCAACUAAUUACAGUAAUCUAUCAUAGUCCAUAGAUAUUCAUUACGGCAUAUAACUUUAGUGACAUUAUAACAUAUUAAUUGCUUUAAUAUUUAUCAGAAGUAUCGAUUUGUCCAUAUUAAUAUUUUGUGUGGAAUAUAAAAAUAAUAUUUUUUGUGAUUUUGUUUGUUUGUUUAUUAUUUUUUUCUAAUAAUCUUGACCCUAAAAUAUCUUUUCAAUUGGCAUAUUAAAAGAAUAAUUUUCAGUUGAUUGGUUUAAAAUAUGUUUGUUAUAAAUUAAAUUAUGCACAAAAUUUGUAUAUUUUAAUAAAGAUGAUAAUUAAAUUGCAAGAUACUAAUAAAUACUUUAAUCUAUUUUAUUGACACUUAAUUUUAUUAUACAAAAAAAUAUAUCAUUAAGUGAUGAUACAUUUUCAAAGAUCUCAACAAAUAAAAUAACAUCGAUGAGUUUACUUUUGAGGAAACUACGUCAACUAAUCCUCACAAGAAAACUGGAUGUUGGCAUUGAGGAUUAACUGACAUAGUUUCCUCAGAAGUCAAGUCACCACUGUUUUCCCUAUUUGUUAAGCUCUCUACAAUUACAUCUUCGCUUAAUGACAUCUUUUCAAAAUUUUCUUGUAUAACAAAAUAAAAGAUCUCAAAAAUUGAUAAAAAGACUUACUAAUAUCUUGAAAUUAAUUACAUUAAAUUUUUUAAAAAAGGUUAAGAUCUUAUAACUCAUAAUUUAAUUUAUAAGAAAUUUAUCUUAAUCCAAUCAAUGAUAACUAUCCUUCUUAUAUGCUAAUUGAAAAGUUAUUUUAUGGUGUUUUACUUUGAAAAAUAAAAUAAAUGAAAAAUAACUAGGUUUUCGAAAAAUCGAUUAAACUUAUGAUUUCAGAGAAAUUAAAUUUCAUGAUAAACAGAGUCACCUCUUAAUUUUUUAGUAAACAUCAAGAAAAAAAAAACUUAAGGUUUUUAAAAGGACUUAAACAAAAAAAAUUAAUUUGAAAAAUAGGUUCGAAGUUCAAUGUACAUUUCGAGAAGUUGUUAGACCCUCGGAAUGUCCAUUAACUUGCGGUUGACCGACGAUUUAACUAAAUGACUUUUUGCAAAUAAUUUUUCUAAAUUUUAACUAAGUAAAGAAAUUCAUUUUUUAUUAAUUUACUUAUUCCUAUUAUUUUUCUAAUUAAUUAUUUCGAAUGGAAUUAAACUAAAGGGGGACUUUCUAAGAAAAAUAAUUUAAAAUGUUAACAAGACUAAAAAUGAAAAUAAAAUUUAGAAUUAAAUAUAAAUAUUUAAUUUUAAAUUUAAAACAAGAAAUGACUAUCUUUGAAAGUCAACUAAGCCAAAACUAAAGAUCAAAUAUAAUGUUAGUUAACACAAUAACAAAUGAAUAAGAUGAAAAGGGAGGGAGUAUUAAAUUUGGGCCUUCAGCCCAAGUUCAAGAACAUGUCCUAAUACAAAAAAGGGAAAAUUGUAUAUAAUAGCAAACUAAUAACCUAAAUUAAAUCGAAUAGCUAGGUUUUGAUUUAAUUGUGCUCCAUAGCAAACAUUAGCUAAAAUUUGCCAGCGUCUCUCUCCCAAAAAUCUCGCUCGCCACUCUCCAUUCUCGCUCGCCUAUCUCGCUUUAUACACAGAAGUGUAUAAUUCUGUUUCUGUUUUGUAUAAAACGAGAGAAAAUUGUAUAUACACAUGCAAAAAUGUAUAUCUUCGUGUUAUACACUUAAUUAUACACUUUACAAAUAUUUUACUUCAAAUAUUGCAGAGAAAAAGGCCAACGAAUUAUACAAUUGCGAAUUAUACAAUUGCAGCGAAAUACAAUUUUCUCUAGCUUUAUACAACAGAAGUGUAUAUAUUGUGUUUCUGUUUUUGUAUAAAGUGAGAAAAACAUAUAUCUUCUUGCUAUACACUUAUAAUUAUGCAAUAUACAUACAUUUUAAUUCGAUUCAACUGUAUGCAAAAUAAAUUAUACAAUUGCAGCGAAAUAGGCCAGCGAAUUAUACAAUUUAGGCUAGCGAAUUAUACAAUAGUAUAUAUAUAGCAAAUUAUACAGUUUUAUGUUUGCUAUGGAGCGCAAUGCAAGGUUUGCUAUAGCAUACAAAUAUGAAUUUUUUAUUUGCUAUAUGUGAAAGUUGCCCUACUAAAAAUACCCAAAACACGAGUUUGGACCUAUUUACUCAAAAUUCUGUUGCUGGCCAUCCUUUUAAGAUUUUAGGGCUUCUUUUCACUUUCAAAUGACAAGAUAUACACCAAGUGUAUAUCUGAUAUACACACCAUGUAUAUGAUUGUUUUUGGACUCCUGAAUCUAUAUUUUCAUUUGAAUUCACUUUUCUGUAUCUUUCAACCUGCUUCGCCGUAUUUUUUACUUGUAUACUAUAUUUUAGAUGUAUACAACAAAUAUUUCAGUGUAUACAACCCCUUUUUCGGGCAUUUCAGCUUUGUUUAACCUUUGGAAACCUGUAUUUUAACUUCAUGAACCUGCCGACUCAAUGAAGAUAGGAAAUUGGGUCUUUGUGGCUCAAUCAAAUGCAAGGAAAAAAAGUCUUCAAAGACUCGGGGGAAGCCGAUUUAUACAUAGAAAAGAACAAAACAAAAAUUAGAAAUAGAGCACACCUUAAAUGAGCUUUCACUUAACAUCAAAUUAAUCCCACAUGAUUAGUAAGACACCAAAUAGAAGUGACAACUAAGCCAUUAAGGCUAAUAGUGACUAAAUGGAAGGGACUUAGACAUAUUUACUAAGACAAAAUAAUGACAAGGAAGCCAUUGUUAAUCUAAAAAUGGAGCAGACCAUUAUAAUUGAUGCCAUUAAAAUGCAAUAUGAGGCUUAGCAAAAGGAGUAAUAAAUUCAUGUAUAGGAUAAAAUUAAGCUUGUUGAACAAGAGCAAAGGAGCGGAUAAAAUUAGUAAAAUAUGCUACUGUUUUUUAUGAAAUUUUAGGCAUGAAUGAGAGAGAGACUUUGACACUUACAACUUUACUAGAAGAGGGAAUAUGAAGAAGAAAAAUGUUUCAUUUAACAAACAAGAUUAGAUCUUCAAUACAUAAUUAUCAAGACUAUGACCAACUUGUCAUCAAAUUGCAAGAAGACAGAGAGCGAUAAUGAACAUGUAAUUGAGAGCUAAGACAAACGAAAUGAUAUUUGUUACUAAGAGGGACAGAGAGAUGACAAACAAUGUUAAACAUAUUCACAUCUUGAAGAUUCCAAAUGAAGAGGAAAAACUAAAUUAAAUGAUUAGACAUGAAGCUUUGAAAAAAGAAGAAACACAAGUGAAAAACAAGCACAAAAUCAUUGAAUCGAAACUAGAUGGCUACUACACCCAACAAACUUUAGCCAAUACGACAUACAAUCCACGAAGCUUUAACUCGAUAUUGCAACUAAAUGAUGGAAACGGCUAAGAAUAGUCGUGUCAUGUUAAAACAAUCAUCACUCGAAUAACAUCUAACAACAAACAACCACGAAAUAAGGAUCUUUAUAACAUCAAAUAACAACGCAUCGAGAUAGAGGAAGACACGAGGAGAAUGCCAUAAAGGAAGUGAUAGAAUAUAUGCCUUCACUUAACAGAGUAAUGGACCAGGUCCCUUACUACACUAAUGAAUAUAACCAGAAAGUUAAAUGCAAUAAAAAUCAACACAAUGAUUUUACGUGGAAAUCUCCUUGCUUAAGGGAGUAAAACCACGACCUGUCUCACAGGAUUUUCAAUCGUUUUCACUAAUCUUCAAAAGCAAAAGUAAAACACGAUUACAACAAAUGUGAGAAGAAGUUUUUAAUCUUACGUUUAAGCAAUAGUCUCUAUUGCUUAACAAGCCUAAGUAGAAAACAAUCUACCCACUAAGCUAUCCCACUUGGACAACCUAGACUUUUAACACUACCCACUGAUUCCUUUAUAGUUUUAGAAAUAGUUUACAAUAUAAGAACAAGAGAAUAUAUUCCUAAACAGCUACACUAAAAGCUCCAGAGAUUACUGCUGUUCUUGGAAUAAUUCUGCCUUUUGUUUACUAGCAGCCUUUGCAAAUGUUCUUGAAAAGUUCUCUUUCAAGUUGCAAAAACUACAAAAGAUGUUUAGGAAAGUGCCUUUUAUAUGGACAAGUCACUUUACUUAAACUCUUUGCCAUUGGUUGAAGAAGUCUCACUUUCUGACUCUAUCGGGAAGUGUGCACCUACUUUCUGUACCGUCUCCAGCUGGCAGUCAACUGGCUCGUCACAAUGAGAGCCUGGUACCUUUAAAAGGUCCCUUGGUUUGUUUCAUCUUCAACACUUAAGUACGAAACCUGGUACCUUUACAAGGUCCCUAAGUUUGUCAAAUCAUCAAAACUGCAAAUAACAUUUUCCCCCUUUUUGAUGAUGACAAACAAUGGCUCUCAGAUCUCCUCCAAAUUUUGUUCCCCCUUACUGUAUUCCCCCUCACUGUUUUCCCCCUUACUGUUUCCCCCCACACUGUAUGAUCAUUCAGCUACUUACCAGUUUUACUUCCCUCUUUUGGCAUCAUAAAAAAGACAUGUAGUAAACCAGUAAUGUCAACAUUAAUACAUAAUAAGAUCAAAGGUAAGAAGCAAUCAAUCAGGAAGGGAAAAACAUUCUCAAAAGACUAUAAUCAGAACAACAGAGGAAUAAGUUAACAAGCAUUCCACAAUAACAUUAAAACAUAAAAAUUAAACUGAUUGUCCAACAACACAAAGAUAAGCCACAAAAAGAACGACAUAAGGGAGAGUUUUUAAUAGGCUAGGAAGAGGGAGGAGGAUGAGACAGGGACUGGAUGAUGAGAGUGAGUCGUGCAUUGGCAGCAUCAUUAUCUUUAAUAGCCUUCUCUUGCAAGGCAGUGAUCUUAGCCUUCAACUCUGCAUUCUCUCUCUCCAGAGCUUGUACCACUGAAGAACCAGGUCCCUCAUUCUGUGCAGUAAGCAGUUCUGCUUUGAGUAUAGCAAUUUCGGCCUCUUUACCACUCAAACGCACAGUGAGCUCCUCAACCUCAUGCUUAAGCUGAUCCUGAUCUUCGAUGAGUUGAGCCAUCUUGCUCAUGAGAUUGCCUCUCCCUUCAAUACACUCACACUCGACCAGGGUACUCUCUGAUAUAGGCUGUUUAACCGUCCCAACCCUUCCAACACUGAGAGGAAUUUGAAAAUGCUUGAAUACUUCUGUGAGAAAGUACUCGUAUACCAUUCCAUGAACACCUUUCCUCUCGAUGACAAUUUUGUAGAUUUGCUCAAGCAUAAGACCUGGGAGAUUCAGGGCUUCGAAGAUACACAACAUCUCCAUCACAAAUAAGUCAGCAGCAGUUGCUGAGGUCCUCUUUUCAGUGCGAGGAAGGAGAACUUUGUUGAUGAACUCGAAGACUAACUGGUACUCGCUCUUCAUGAUCUUCUUAUAAAUCCCAGCAACCUUGGUUGUGGGUAUCUUAGAAAUCAAGGAAGCAAACUCAGUAGAGGAAGUUCUUCCCAGCACAAACCGGGUCCCUCUCUAGGCACCCUGAGAAUUUUGCUCAACAAACCCUCAUCUAGAUGUACAACAAUGUCAUUGACCCGUGUGAGGAUACUCCCAUCUUCUUUUAAUUGAACAUCAUAAUAAAAUUCGCGCACUUCUUCUUCAUAGAGGAUGGGGGAUUUUCUGUUGAACAAAUGCAGCCAUGAUUGAAUUUCAACCAUAUAGUGAAGGGAGUCCAUGCCGAGAAGAGUUAUGAUUCCCAUAUCAAAAACUCUCCCAGCCAAGACGGCUUCUCAGGUUGUCAACAACUUCCUGCAUGUUGACACUCUCAUCUCUCCUGAAUUGGGUACCAGGUCCCUGUGAUCUCUUCCUUUUGCCUCCAGAACUUUUCUUUUUGGACUUUGUGUUUUCAACCUUCUUUGAAAUCUUCCCCUUUUUCUUCUCUUCCCUUUUCUUCUUACUUUUCUUUUCCACUUCCUCAGCGGACAACUCAACAACAUCAGUCUCAGGUAUUUUGAAAUUUGAUACCUUGAAGGUUAUUGCACUUCUAACUGCAGCAGUAGAACGUGCACUGGCCUUCAAGGCAUCGGUCAUCAAUUUUGGAGCAGUAGACCUAGUGGUAGGUCUUCUCCUAGGGGUCUCUUCUACAACCUUCUCCUUCCCUUUUAUAGAUAUCUCACCUUCUCUUCACUCAACCUUCCAUUUUAAAGGUUCCUCCUCACUUUCAGAGUCAGAGGAGGAGGAAGAAGGAUACCUUCCAAUAUCAGGAGCUUUAUCAAAAAUGGGUUGAGUGUUUCUUACCUCUUCCUUUUGCAAAACAUCAGUUUGCUCAGCCCUUGCUUCUCCCCGCAUCAUAGCCAAGCUCUCAAUCACCAAAUCUUCACUUGCUGCCAAUAUAUUGGACUCAGAUGCCUUAUGCUUGGGUAGAUCUCCUUCAAAGAGAUUAUCAGGCAGCAUUUCUUGCAACGGACCAGGUCUAGUAGGCAAGCAUGUACUGUUUAGAUCUAUGUCAUAGAAGGGAUUGUCGGGUGUGUCUUGCUGAGAACUAGAAGGGGCAUUGUGUCUGGACUGUACAGUAGACGGAGAAAAGAAAGCAAGUGGCUCUAUUUCACUAAGAGCAUUAAGCAUCUGUUUAGAGGUAGAAGAAGGAGAAGACAUGUUUGAAGGACAAAGGAAGAAGGGUUUUCGAACAGAGAGAGGAAGAAGAAGAAACAAAGUUUGCCUUUUUAACUUUUGUUUAAACCCUUCUUCAAGCAAAAGGAAUGCUAAAGGACGGAUGUAGAUUUCAAAAAGAAGUAAAGAGGGUUUUUAAAAGGCGUGAAAAGGUGCCAGGUCCGUGAUUGGAUGUGUCGCUUGAGAGAGAAGCGAUGAGACUAACGGUCAGACUGACCGAUGACUGACACGUGGCAUUAUCAACGGUCAUAAUUUUUAGUUUCAAAUUAAUGUAGAAAUGUUAACCUGGACAGGCACCAGGUACCAUAGCACAAUUACAUGCUCAUUCCCCAGUUGUUAUAGUCAUUUUCUUUGCUAAGCAAGUCCUUCCUGAAAGUAUAUCUACAAAAGGUACAAAAAGGAUCUUUAUUCAGAUAUUUAAUAUUCACACAAAGGAUGCCUGCACUACAGUUUUAGCAAUCAAGGGAAUUCAACUGUUGGAAGCCAAGAACAUCACUUAGAGAUCAACAUGCCCAACUUCAACCGAUUUCUAAAUUGAUAUUUACUGAGAGACUUGGUGAAGAUAUUUGCAAUUUGCUCCUCCGUUGGACAAUAUGUAAGAACAAUAUUUCCCUUCUCAACAUUAUCUCUCAAAAAGUGAUGUCUAACAUCAAUAUGCUUUGUUCUUUUAUGAUGGACUGAAUUCUUUCCCACACUAACAACACUAGUAUUGUCACACAUAAGAGGAAUUGCUUUGAUGUGAAUCCCAAAAUCUUCCAAGUGUUGCCUGAUCCACAGCAACUGUGAACAACAGGCUGCAGCAGCUACAUACACAGCUUCAGCAGUUUAGAGAGCCACAGAGUUCUGCUUCUUUGGUUCCCCAAGAGAUAAGUGAUGAUCCAAGGAAAUGAGCCAUUCCAGAAGUACUCUUUCUGUCAACUUGAUAACCAGAAAAAUCAGCAUCUGCAAAACCAACUAGAUCAAAAGUGUCACCUGCUGGAUAGAAGAGAACCAGGUCCCUUGUUUUCUUCAGGUAUCUAAGAAUACGUUUUGCAGCCUUCAAGUGUGAAUCACGAGGACAUGAUUGAAACCUGGCACACAUUCCAACACUAUAAACAAUAUCAGGCCUGCUAGCAGUCAGAUAUAACAAGGAUCCAAUGAUUCCCCUGUACAUUGUUUGAUUCACAAGAGGAUCAGAUUCCUCUACUCAAGCUUGGAAUUUGUUCCCAUAGGAGUAUCAAUAGUUUUAGAGUCAAAUAUAUUGAAUUUCUUCAGUAUCUCCUUAAUGUACUUCUCCUGACAGAUUGAAAUCCCAUUUGAUGAUUGCUUGAUUUGUAAACCAAGGAAGAAUGUCAGUUCACCCAUCAUGCUCAUUUCAAAUUCCUUUCCCAUUAAUGCUGUGAAUUCUUCACAUAAAUGUUCUGAAGUAUCUCCAAAAAUUAUGUCAUCCACAUACACUUGAAUGAUAAGCAAUUCUUGUUCUUUUUUUAAUAAGAACAAAGUAUUGUCUAUCUUGCCUUUUUUGAAACCAUUCUUCAACAGAAACUUUGACAGCCUUUCAUACCAUGCUCUUGGAGCGUGCUUCAGACCAUACAGGGCUUUAUUCAAUCUGAACACAUGAUCUGGUAGCUCUGCAUCUUCAAAACCAGGAGGUUGCUUGACAAAUACCUCCUCUUUGAGAUCUCCAUUCAGAAAUGCACUUUUCACAUCCAUUUGAUACAGCUUGAACCCCAUGAAUGCAUCAAAAGCUAUUAAAAUUCUGAUAGCCUCCAUUCUGGCAACAGGUGCAAAAGUCUCAUCAUAGUCUAUUCCCUCUUCUUGAUUAUAUCCUUGAACCACCAACCUGGAUUUAUUUCUAGUAAUCACUCCAUUUUCAUCAAGCUUGUUUUUGAAAAACCCAUCUGGUUCCUGUUACUGUUCUGCCUGCAGGUCGAGGAACCAGGUACCAUACCUUGCUUCUUUCAAACUGAUGAAGUUCUUCUUGCAUAGAGUUGAUCCAAUCUACAUCACCUGAUGCUUCUUUCACAUUCUUGGGCUCAAUAGAUGAUAUGAAUGCUGAAAACACAACUAGAUUUCUUGUUUUUGAUCUAGUAUGAAUUCCAGAAUUCAAAGGAGAAAUAAGAUUAUCAAGAGGAUGUGAUGAACUAUGCUUCCAACCUGAUCUUUGAGUAGACUUGUUGAGUUGAUCAACAUGUUCUUCAUCAAGAGAGACAUCAUUUUCUGGGGAGUUUGAUGUACUCUGGCUGGAAUUCUGAGUAAUACCAGGUACCUCAUCACAUUUUCCACCUCAUCAGCCUCUUCAGGUAGACUAUGAUUCUGAUCAUCACAAUCAUUUUUCAGUUGUUGUCCUGCAUCAGCUUCACUUCCUUCAAUUUUCUGCGAAUUGAACAGUUUGAUCACAUCAUCUUCAUCAUUUGAUCCAUUAUUCCUUAAGCUUUUAUUUUCAUCAAAUACAACAUGAAUGCUUUCUUCGAUGCAUUGAGUUUGUUUGUUGAAUAUUCUGUAAGCUUUACUCGAUGAAGAAUAUCCAACAAAUACUCCUUCAUCACUCCUAGGAUCAAAUUUUCCCAGAUCAUCCUUUCCAUUGUUAAGCACAAAACACCUGCAUCCAAAUGCUCUAAGAUAACUCAACAUAGGCUUUCUGUUGUUGAGCAGCUCAUAGGGGGUCUUAUUCAAAACAGCUCUUAUCAGACACCUGUUGGUAACAUGACAUGUUGUUUAACAACUUCUGCCCAGAAAUUUUGAGGAAGAUUUGAUUCAAUAAUCAUAGUUCUGGCAAUGUUCACCAAGGUUCUGUUUUUCCUUUCCACUACUCCAUUUUGUUGGGGAGUUCUAGGAGCAGAAAAAUUAUGACUCGUACCAUUCUCCAUGCAGAAUUUAUCCAGUUUUGAGUUCUCAAACUCAGUACCAUCAUCAGAUUGAAUGCUGCAAAUGACUUGAUUCAAUUUGGUCUGAAUCAUUUUGAAAAGCACCACAAACUCUUCAACUGUUUCUGCCUUUGAUUUCAAGAAUCUUGUCCAUGUAUAUCUCGAGUAAUCAUCAACAAUCACCAAUAUGUAAUUCUUGCCAUAUCUGCUUUGAACCUUCAGGGGUCCACACAAGUCCAUGUGAAGCAGCUCUAGAGUUCUUGAUGAUGUUACUUGCUUUUUAGGCUUAAAGGAUGAUCUGAUUUGUUUUCCUUUAACACACGCUUCACAGAUUUUAUUUUCAGCAAACUUCAGCUUUGGCAGACCUCGGACCAGGUCCUUAGAAAUAAGUUUGUUUAAUAAAGACGAGCUUACAUGCCCCAGCCUACGAUGCCAAAGAUCAGCAUUCUCAUUCUGAGCGCUAAGACAUGUCAGGUCAUCUCCAAGAGACGUUUCUAAGUUGGCCACAUACGUAUUUUUACUUCUGUGAGCAGUAAGAAUUACCUUCUUUGUAGUUAGACUCAUCAUAGUGCACUUCUUAGAAGUAAAUUUGACUUCAUUCCCUUUGUCAUAGAUUUGAGACACACUCAACAAACUGUACUUCAACCCAUACACAUGAUACACAUUGUCGAUUGAAUCUUCAAGAGAUUUUCCCACUUUGCCAACUCCCAAAAUGUACCCCUUCUUACCAUCACCAAAAGAGACACCUCCUCCUUGAAGUGUCUUGAGUGAGAGGAAAUUUUUACAUCACCAGUCAUAUGUUUAGAGCAUCCACUGUCCAUAUACCAACAUUGACUGCUGCUCCUCUCACUCACCAGCACCAAGAAUCACUUGUUUAGCUUGGGAACCCAUUUCAAUUUGAGUUCCCAGAAGGCAGACAAAGGAGUGAUUAGAUUGUAUUUAGUCCAAUAGGGUAUAUUUUGAAGCUUUCUAACAAAGGACAUUGGGGCCGUGACAAAUUUUUUCUUUGAAAAUCUGUGAGUGAAACAUUCUUUGGAGGAUCAGGUCUCUGUUUUGGUAAAUUUUGCCUUUCAGCAUAAUUAGAGAAUUUUUCAUAGGAGUUUCUCCAGCCAGCACACUCUCCCUUUAAAUUCCCAUUCUUACCACAAUGAAGACAGAGCAGAUUGUCAGACACAAACACAUACUUGCUGUGAGGAUUAUAAGGAGGAGUGAUGUUCAAACUUACUAGUCCUUUCUUAUUGCAAUUACUCUGAUUUGUUGCAUUUGACAAUAACUUUGAGGAUUUUGUCCACUUAAGAGAUUUUUCAAGUUCUUCCUUAAGUUUGACAAUAUCCUUUUCUAAUUUGUUGCUCUUUUCCAACGACAGACAAAGGUUUUUCUCAGAGUUUUUCAAUUUUUCUUGAAUUUCAACUUGUAAACCAUUUGACAUUCCAUUUAGCUUUUCAUCUUCUUCAGUUAUCUGAUUCAACUGAUUCUUAAGUUCAGAAUUAUUAGACUCUAGAGACACCAUUCUUGACAUUUUCUCUUCAAGUUUAACUUUGUUUUCAGUUAAACUGUCAAGUUCAGCAUUCAUGGUGUCUCUUUCAGAUGUUAACUCACUUAUAGAAUCAAUCAUGACUUUUGCCAACAUUCUCAAUUUUUUAAGAGAAUAAUUAUCCAAGUCAUUUUUCAUAUCAAGAAGAGUUACCUGGUCGUCCUCUUCUUCAUUUUCUGUAUGAGCCAUGAGAGCAAAAAUUUCAUUGAAAAUGGUUUCCUCCUCAUGUACAACCACCAUAGACACAUCAUUUGGUUCAUCAGGAUCUUCUGAAUCACUUGAAGAAUCACCCCACGCAGCAAGAUCCUUUUUAACCACCAAAUCUGCAGCAGCUUUUCAAUCUCUCUUACCGAGUACCAGGUCCCUUUCUCUUUGUCACUUCUUAGUUUUUGAUGUUCCUUGUUUUCAUUCUUGAGCAGAGGACACUCUCUGAUAAAGUGUCUAGCUUUUCCACACUUGUAACAUGUAUCACCUUGAGUAGCAUUUCGAGUAUCAUUUGUUCCUCUUUUAAAAACUUUGUUUUUUCUCACAAUUUUUUGAAAUCUGUUGAUGAGAUAUGCCAUAUCAUCAUCACUGGAAUCUUCAUCUGAUUUGUACUUCAGCAUCAAUGACUUAUCCUUUUUAGCUUCCUUCUUUGAUGAAUCACAAUUUUGAUUCAUCUCACGUGUCUUCAGAUUUCCAAUCAAAGCAUCCAUAGUCAGCACCUUCUAAUCUUUGGCUUCUGUGAUGGCAUCAACCUUGCUUUACCAAUACUUUGGAAGAAUUCGAAGUACUUUUAUGUCUUGUUUGCUCAUGCUUAUAGGUUCACCAAAACUUCGCAGCUCAUUUGUAAUGGAAGACAAUUUUGUGAACAUGUCAUGAAUUGUUUCUCCUUCCUUCAUUUUGAAGUUCUCAUACCGUGAGGUAAGCAUGUCAAUCUUUGAUUCUUUGACUUGUUCAGUUCCUUCAUGAGCAGUCUACAAACAGUCCCAAAUUUUCUUACCAGACUCACAAGCUAAAACCCUGUUGAACUCAUCAGGUCCUAUCCCACAUACAAGAAGAGUUUUUGCUUUGUAUCCUUUUUCAAUCUUUUUUCUAUGAGCUUCGUCGUAUUUCUUUCCAGGCUUUGGAACAAGACUAGUUUUCUCUCCAUCCUUUUCUUCCAUCAUCGGAAUAAACGGUCCAUCAAGUACAAUAUCCCAUAACUUGCUGUCUUCAGCCAUGAGGUAAUCAUGUAUUCUAACUUUCCACCAACUGUAGAAAUGUCCAUUGAAACGUGGAGGUCUUGUUGACGACUGACCUUCUUCGAGAUCAAGUGGAGCAGCCAUUCUAGAACAAAUAUCACAUCCUUGGUGUUAACCAAAUAGGGAGUGCCUGCUCUGAUACCACUUGAUAGAAUAUAUGCCUUCACUUAACAGAGUAAUGGACCAGGUCCCUUACUACACUAAUGAAUAUAACUACAAAGUUAAAUGCAGUAAAAAUCAACACAAUAAUUUUACGUGGAAACCUCCUUGAUUAUGGGAGAAACCACGACCUGUCUCACAGGAUUUUCAAUCGUUUUCACUAAUCUUCAAAAGCAAAAGUAAAACACGAUUACAACAAAUGUGAGAAGAAGUUUUUAAUCUCACGUUUAAGCAAUAGUCUCUAUUGCUUAACAAGCCUAAGUAGAAAAUAAUAUACCCACUAAGCUAUCCCACUUGGACAACCUAGACUUUUAACACUACCCACUGAUUCCUUUGUAGUUUCAGGAAUAGUUUACAAUAUAAGAACAAGAGAAUAUAUUCCUAAACAUCUACACUAAAAGCUCCAGAGAUUACUGCUGUUCUUAGAAUAAUUCUGCCUUUUGUUUACUAGCAGCCUUUGCAAAUGUUCUUGAAAAGUUCUCUCUCAAGUUGCAAAAACUACAAAAGAUGUUUAGGAAAGUGCCUUUUAUAUGGACAAGUCACUUUCCUUAAACUCUUUGCCAUUGGUUGGAGAAGUCUUAGUUUUUGACGUCAUCGGGAAGUGUGCACCUACUUUCUGUACCGCCUUCAAUUGACAGUCAACUGGCUCGUCACAAUGAGAGCCUGGUACCUCUACAAGGUCCCUUGGUUUGUUUCAUCUUCAACACGCAAGUACGAAACUUGGUACCUUUACAAGGUCCCUAAGUUUGUCAAAUCAUCAAAACUGCAAAUAACAGGAAGAAAUGUUACCUUUUCCUGUGCAGCAAAAUGUACAAGACGAGCAGAGGAUCAACGACUUCAAAAAUCCGGCAAGUUCCCAGUGACUCCUAAACAGACAAGGGAAGUAUAUAUUUAAGAUGUAUUUCUUAUAAAGAUAUUGUAGUUUAGUGAUUAUUUUUCUUUGUAAGUUCUUGCCUGAGGAUAUAUUUCUCAAACUCUACUUACCAACUAAAAACUAACUGUUUUUUUCCCAACUCUUGACUUUAUGAGGAAGAGGGUGUAUAUGUAGACAAGGAGACGGGGCCUGAUGGGGGGGAAGUUGGGUAAAGCAAAGGGGUCAAUUCGAAAUUUGAGUUCCCUCUUGGAUAAGGCUUCCAGCUCUACUCUUGAACACACUUGUGAAAUUUCUCAACGGGAUGAAGAGGAUAGACGUUGAUUCUAGGCAAUGCAAGGACGAGCAAGGCUUCAAGAUUGCUCCACCAGAAUGAUGAGGGACAAUUUUUCAAAAUGGUCUUCAUACGGAGAGGAGAGGACGACGCGCUAGGGUGGGUUUGGGUCGCGAUUUUGAUUAGCUGGGAUGGACGAGUUUCUGGGUUUCACGUUUCUCGCUGGACCGCGUGAGGAAAAAGAGGAAGAACGCACAUGGUUGAUUUAUUGUAUUGUAUUGCAUUGUUACUCGGUUAUUUGGGAUGUGUUAUGGGGUUGGACUAAUAUUGUUGAGUUUCUUUAGAAUUAAAUGGGGUUGGUUUUGCGGAAAGUUGAGCUGCUGGAAACAAGCCCAAAUUUUGAUCUAUUAAAGGGUUAAAAGUAUUUAACCAAUAACUACAUAAGAUGAAUUAAUAUAAAUUAAUUAAUGAGCUUCUUAAUCUUAAUAAACUGAAAUAAUCAACUUAAUUGUAAACUAAAGAUUCAAAAUUAUAAUCAUAAUUUAAACUAAUUUAUUGAGAUAAUUUUUGAAAUUUUAGAAAAUAUACUAAUUACAUAUAUAAUUAUAAAAUGCUAUAGAAUUUUGCUAAAAUUACUUAAAGUAACCUCAAAAAAAUUUGAGUUUUAUAAAACUAAUUAUUCUAAAUUAUUUAAAAAUCAGGAAGCUCGAAAAUUAAUUAUUAUUAGGGAGGGUCAAAAUUAGGUGUCAACAGCCGUCCCUCAUUUUACUUAGUUAAUGCAAGAAAUUCGAAGAAAAUAAAAUUGACCUAGCCAAUUUUGACCGACCAACUAUUCACCUUUUGGAGAAGGGAUUUCGUACGUACUUUAGAAAUUAUGAUCGAAUCACACAAAUGAGUUUACUUGGAUUGAUGCAAGAAAUUUAAUACGCUUGAUUCAGAUAUCGAAUUAUGAAGAGACCAGGAUGCUUGAUAAUAAGAUUUAGAGAGAAUGUGGAAUAAAAGUAAGUUUUCAACACUGAUCCUACCUACAUAUCCCUCAACUCAGGGAAUCAGGCUUCUUGUACUUCAACUCGAUUGGUUGAAAAGAAAAUCUAUUAUGGUAGAUAACCUUUGUUACUGGAAGAGAGGAAAAUAAAUCGAGUAUGAAAAAGAGGCCUGUACUUCUUAGUUAUGAAUGUAGUGAACUUCACACCCAUAAUUAAGAACUUACACAGACGUAAUUUCCAAAGCUCGCCUCCAGUAAAAACUAAAACUUUUCAGAUGCAAAACUAAAAUCGGCAAAACUAAAUAAAAAACCACAUGCCUUCUAAUAGGAAUGUGUCACGACCGUGGAUCACCCCUAGACGUAACAGGCGUCUUCGUUCUCAAAGAGGACUUGGACUAGCCUUUGGCAUUCGUCAUAACAUAUCAUAGGUCGAAAAUAUAAAAAAUUAAAAACUUUUACAUAGUGAAGUAUACUUAGACUUCUCACAUAUCGUAUAUGGUGUUUACAUAGACUCCUCGCUUAUUACAUAGACUUCUCGUUUAGGCAAUAUAACCAAAACAUAAGAAAUAGUCUAAUACUUUGUCUCACAUUAAACCAUCUAAUAGAGAAUUACAACAUUGGGCAUAACCCUUACUGCAAUACAAUAUGCCACAUAUAGGCUUACAACAAUAGUCUCAAAAUAUAAAGGAAUGAACAAGUGUCUUUAGACAUAAGCAACAUCAUAGCUAGAUGAAGAAUGACAACAUCCUCGAUCAUGAGGACCUACCAAUAACUUGGUUAAUCAAAUAUUCCUUCAAAGUGGCCUCCUACACUUCAAUGGCCUAAACCUACAUUGUUUGGGAAAAGGAAAACAAUAUAGGUUAGUACAUCCACUUGUACUAAGUAUGAAAACAUAUGCACAUAGAACCUUUGGAAUCAUGCUUAAAAGAAAAUUUUAUUCUAAACCAUGCUAAGUAACUUUGAAAGCCUUUUAUGAACAUAUAAGAUCAUAUACAAGUCAAUAUGCAUAGCAUCAUUAAGACAAGUUCAUAUCCAAGACAAGACCAACAUCAUCAUAAAGUCAUUCAAUAUGAAUAACUCCAACAUAAUGUCAUAACAAAAAUUCAUGUACAAGAGUUCAUAACAUCAAAGCAUACAAGACCCUUACUCACCAUCCCAUCCCUAUCCUACAAGUGUAAUGCUGAUGUGAAGCCCCAUAACCCCACAUAAUCAAGUAAACAAGAAAAGGGACUAUAAGUAAUACCUUACUUCAUAAAACAUAACAUCAUGUGUAGUCAACAUCAACUACAAUAACUUAGACCAAUAACAUGUUCAUGUAUGAAACUAAUAUCAUAUAGGACCAUCAACAUGUAAAGUCAACAUAUGCAUUUCAUUCAUAUCAUAAGAGCAUAAAAACAACCUCCUAGGACUCCUCGCAAGGCCAAAUUGUGCAAUGUAUAGGUAGAGUCCCAUACCCCUACCUACACCAAGUAGAACUCCUUAAGUCACCGUAGUUAGUGUUCACUUCAUCACUUUCAUUCUAUCAUUUUACUUUCAGGAACAAUUGCCUUAACCAACAAUAGACCAUGUGAUCUAAACAUGGAAUUUGGUGUCAUGAAACCCCACAUCGAAAGAAGGUGGUCUAUUUGCCAAGGUAGAACCAAAACAUGAACAUAACAUUCUAGGUGGAUCCACUAGCUAGUAUUCCUAUGGAGACAACAUAGUUAAGGAACUAAGAGAUAUGUAUUGAACCUUGUACAUGCCCAUUAGAAUUGGAAUCACAAGAAACUAUAGGGUGAACCUACCUUCCAUUAGGGAGUCAACACCUCUCAUUGUCAAGUUCACUAAGUGCUAAGAUAAAGUCCCUUUUUGAAAUGCCUUUAUUCCUUUCUUAAUCAUCAAAUCUUAAUAUAGGCCAUCUGAGAACAACCACUUGUAUAAUCAUGUCAUUAGCUCAUUAAGUAUUUCAUGAAAAUUUCCUUUCAAUACAACCUUUCAUGCAGUGAGAUCAUCAUAUCAUAGUAAGGCACACAAGUGAUUCAUAUUCAACCUUGUAUCAUCAUACCCUUAACAUGAUCUCACAAUUGUACAUUUUCAUGAAAAUUUCAUCAUAAUCAUCAUAUUAUCAUCUUCUUAAUCUAUUCACAUACUUCCUCCAUUUAAAAAAGAAUGAACUCCUUUCCAUUUUGGUCUGUUUAAAAGAGAAUGACCUCUUUCUUUUUUUGGUAGCAACUUUUCACGUAGCAUGUUUAAGGCCACAAGAUCAAAUGGCAAUUUUAUACAUUUGAUAUAACUUUAGUUUAGGACCACAUGAUCAAAAGUACUCUUUCUUUUCUUAAACUCCGUGGCGAGUCAAACUCGAUCAUUCUUUGUGAAAUGGAGGGAGUAUAACACUUCAAUUGAAACAUCAUCAUCAAGUAUAAACCAUCAUUUUUGAAGGAAAGAACUCAAGAUAAUAAAGUCUUACCAAAUAGACUUCAAAAUCCUUCUUCAAGUUCUUAUUAUCAAUCUAACAAUACUCAUCCAUCAAUUAACGUAUUAUCACCAUAUAAUAGUAAUCUAUAUACGAACUAAAUCAAUUGUAUCAUCACUAAUCAAAUCAACCUCAAUUCAUUACAUAGGGUUAGGGAAAAGGGUGUAAUCAUGGAUUCUUUCAUAGUACUAGGUCAAAGAAUAAGAACUUAAAAAAAUCAUAAUCUUUCAAUAAUAAUCAAGAGAAUUCAACAUCAAAUCAAAUUGAAAGAUCUUUCACAAAAUUGGAAAACUGAUGUUUUUGGCAUCAUUAGAAACCAAUUUAAAGAGCCUUUUGGGAGAAGGGAUUCCAGAGUGAAUAUCUUUCAUACCUUAGGAUUUCUUGAAGAUUGAUGGAGAAAAUAUUGAGUCUUGAAGCCCUAGUGAACCUUGAAGCUUGGUCUUCAAUGGGGUCUUGGAAUAGAGAGAUAAAGUAGAGAGAAGUUAGAGAGAAUUGGGUUUGGGUAUUAUGAGGUGUUAAGUUAUUUUAAGACUUAGGGUAGAUUAUAUAGUCAUUUAAAUAACUUAAGUAACCACCCCUUAACACAUAAUUAAUCACGUAACUAAUUAACUGAUUCCCCUAAGCUUGGCCAAUUUUAAGGCAGUGCACCAAGCCCAAUCGAUGACUGCACGUCAACGUCCCGUCGACCAGACCAUGACACCGUACUGGGGCUACGUGGUUUUGGUCAGAGAGGGUGUUUUGAGCACCUUUUGAAAUGUGGCUAAGUACUGACCAACGACCACCAUCGACGGGCCAUUGCGGCUCGUCGAUUGGUUCCGUCCUUAGCCACUAUCAAAUAAAAGUUUUGGGGUCAAAUGGAAGAGUCCUCUCAAGGACCCUUGGUGUGGUCCUUGGGGAUUCGUACCCUAAACACACUCUAACACAUGUUUAACACCAUUUUACAAAAUUUGACUAAAUUUCGACUCUUCAAACCCCUUGAAACAUGCCAAGUCGCACUAGUUCACCUUUUACAAUUCUCCGAACGUCAUGGUCGUUUCUUAAUGCUUUGAUUGUAACACUUCCUAAAUAGUUCCAACACAUUAGUUUAGGCUUAGAAACAAUAUUUUAAGGCUUGGUUCAUAUAGUGAGGCUCUAUAAUAAGUCAUAGACUUUCGGAGUGUUACAUUAUCCCCCCUUGGGAAAAUAUUCGUCCUCGAAUGACACCGAAAUCUUUUUAUAGGGAGAGAAUGACUCAAGACUAGCAGCCCAACCAACAACAACAUAACAACAUAAACACAUUAUGAGUCACAAUCCAUAGGACUAAUUCACAACUCCAUUCAACACAUGAUCAUGACAUUACACAUAGCAACUCAAUUUCACAAUUAUCACAUAUAAGAGCUCAACAUCACAACAUGAGGAAUUACCUUCUCAACGUCAACAUGAGCUCUACAUGAUCAUCAAGAGUGACCAUGUAAACCUUCUUUCAAGACACAUUAAACAUGCUCACUACUAUUUCAUGAAGGUAACUAUACACAUAACACAAAUAAGUGCAAGUCAAGCAAAAGAGCAUUUUCCUAAGAAAACUCAUUUUAACAUGAAACCUUUAUCAAAACAUGCACAUUUUAUCAAAGCAAGUAAAAUUCAACAUUAAUUAUUAUUUUAUUUCAAGAGGAUUACUAACCUCAACUCUGGCUAGAAUUUUGAGAAAAAAGAUGAGGAUAACGUGACUUCAUGUCAGCCUCGGCCUCUUAUGUUGCUCCCUCAACUAGGUGGUUUCCAGGAUUCUUGCGAAGGCCACCUCUUUAUUCCUCAACUUUUGACUCGAUGAUCUAAGAUUUCAACCGGAACCUCUUCAUAAGAAAGGUUCUUAUCAAAUCCUAGACCUUCAAUCGGGAGAAUGGAUAUAAGUUCACCUAUACAUUUCUUGAGCACGGAGACACGAAACACCGAAUAAACUGAAACUAGUUCACUUGGUAGUCUCAACUCAUAACAAACUUCUCCAAUCCGGUCCAAUACCUCAAAAGGACCCCCAUACCGGGGACUAAGCUUCCCCUUUUUAUUGAAUCUCAUAACCCCUUUCAUUGGUGAAAUUUUCAAGUACACCCAAUCACCUACUUCUAAUUCAAGAUCUCUCGUUCUGUUAUCGAGAUAAGACUUUUGCCAACUAUAGGAUAUUUUCAACAUACCUCUUAUCAUCCUAAUCUUUUAAAAACCUUCAUAGAUUAUCUCAGGAUCAAGGAGUGAAGACUCACCAACCUUAAACUACCUAACCGGAGACCUAUAUCUCCUACCAUAAAGUGCAUCAAAUAGUGCCAUGAAUUACUCGAAUGGUAGCUAUUUUUAUAGGAGAAUUCAAUCAACGGUGGGUGAUCAUCCCAAUUACCUUUGAAAUCUAUUACACAAACUCUUAAUAUAUCUUCUAGUGUUUGAAUGGUACGUUCCGCUUGACCAUAUAUUUGAGGAUGAAAAGCGGUUCUAACCUUCAUUUGAGUACCCAACCCAUUUCAAAAAGACCUCCAAAAAAUGAGAAGUGAAUUGAGCACCUCUAUCCAAUAUUAUGGACAAAGGGAUCCCAUGUAAGCUCACAAUCUUAUUAAUGUAUAUUCUUGCAUAAUCCUCCGCCGAAUAAGUAGAUUUUAUGGGGAUAAAGUGAGUGUACUUAUUCAACUUAUCCAGAAUCACCUAUAUUGAGUCAUUUUGCCUCUGGGUUUGAGGCAACCUUACAACGAUGUCCAUAUUAAUUCCUUCCCACUUCUAGGUAGGCACAUCCAUUACUUGGUUACACCACCCGACGUUUGAUGCUCGACUUUAACUUGUUUGCAAUUUGAACACCUAGCCACAAACUCUGCUAUGUCUCUUUUCAAAUCAUCCCACCAAUAGACCUGUUGAAUAUCACGAUACAUUUGGUUGCAUCUGGAUGAAUAGAAUAUAGGGAACCAUGAGCUUCUUCCAAAAAAUUUCCUUCAAAUUAUCAACAUCCGGUACAUACAAUCUACCUUGGUACCUAAGUACACCAUCCCCGCUUGGGAGAAUGACUCAUUGUGCCUACUAAGUACCGAUUCCUUAAAAUCCACCAAUAGAGGGAUCAAGAUGUUGUUUAAACUUUACCUCAACCACUAAAGAUGACUCGAAUUUAUGAUGAACCAUAAAACCACCUUUCGGAGAAUCUUCUAAACGAAUACCCAAUCGGGCCAAUCUAUGGACAUCCUUCACUAGGUCUUGCUUACCUUUCUCCACAUGAGACACACUACCCAUGGUCAUAUGACUUAAGCAUCCUCAACCAUGUUGGCCUUGUCGGGGUGGUAGAGAACACUCAUGUCGUAAUCCUUCAACAGUUCCAACCAUCUUCGUUGUCGGAGAUUUAACUCCUUUUGAGUGAACACAUAUUGAAGACUUUUGUGAUUGGUAAAUACAUCCACAUGAACAACAUAUACAUAAUGUCUCCAUAUUUUCAGCAAACACUACAACCGCUAAUUCAAGAUCAUGAGUUGAUAAUUCUUCUUAUGUACCUUGAGUUGUCUACAUGCAUAUGUUGCAUGAGGACAUAAUCCAAAACUACUAGAGAAGCGUCAUAAUACACCACAAAACCCUUGGUACCCACUAUUAAUGUCAACACUGUAACGGAGAUUAUCUUAUCUUUCAACUCUUGGAAACUUCUUUCACAAGCUUCCGACCAUUCAAACUUAGCAUUCUUUUGGGUGAAGGUAGUCAAAAGAUAAACAAUGGAUGCAAACCGAUCAACAAACCUCCUAUAAUACCUGGUUAAACCCAAGAAACUCUGAAUAUCUUUCAUUUUCUUUGGAUCGACCUCAAUACCUUCAUUUGAGAUAAUGUGAUCAUGAAACGCAAUUGAUCUUAACAAAAAUUCCCACGUACUGUAUUUUGCAAAGAGUUGAUGUUCCUUGAAGACUUGCAAAACAACCCUCAAAUGGUUCAUAUGCUCAUCCUCACUCUUAGAAUACACCAAGAUAUCAUCAAUGAAGACAAUCACAAAAGAAUCAAGGAAAUUUCAGAAUACUCUAUUCAUAAGGUCCAUAAAAAUCGCCAGGGCAUUAGUUAGACCAAAGGACAUCAUUAGGAACUCAUAAUGUCCAUACCUAGUUCAGAAAGGUGUUUUAGGUAUGUCUUAACCUUUCACCCUAAAUUGGUGAUACCCCGACCUCAAAUUAAUUUUAGAAAAGUAGAUUUUCCCCUGGAGUUGAUAAAACAAGUCGUCAAUCCUAUGGACAUUGAGGAUAAUGGUUAUUUAUGGUGACCUUAUUAAGUUGACAGUAAUUAAUGCACAUCCUAAGGGACUCAUUCUUCUUCUUUACAAACAACAUCGGAGCACCCAAUGGGGAAAUACUUGGUUGAAUGAAACCCUUGUCUAGUAAAUCCUUGAGUUGGACCUUCAACUCUUUCAAUUUGUCCAGAGCCAUCCGAUAAGGAAGAAUUGAUCUAGGAUUCGUAUCCGGCAACAAGUCAAUGCCAAAGUCUAUUUCUCGUUCCGGAGGAAUCCUGAGCAACUCAUCGGGAAAGACUUUCAAAAAAUCCUUCACUACGGGAUCAACUCUAAUGGAGUAAUCUCGGACUCAAGAUCCUGGACCCUCACAAUAUGGUGGAGAUCAUCUUACAAGAUAUUAGACACGAAUAAUACGACCUCUAGGGAUUGUGUUAUCCCCCUUCCACUUUAAAAUAUGUUCAUAAGGAAAUUGGAACUUAACUAACUUGGUUCUACAAUCAAUGGAAGCAAAACAAGCAUACAACCAAUCCAUUCAAAAAAUGACAUCAAAAUCAACCAUAUCAAUUUCUACCAAAAUCAACCAAUAUAACUCUAUUGGUUAAUAAUAUAUGACAACUCAUAAAUACUCUUCUAGCCAUAACGGAGUCACCCACCGGGGUUUUAACAGAAAAAAGUUUAAUCAAAACAUCGGGUAGAAUAUCAAAUUUCGUAGCUACUAAAGGAGUUACAAAAGAUAAAGUAGCACCGGGAUCUAGUAAAGCAUAGACACCAAAGGAAAAGUAUUACAACAUACCGGUGACAACAUCGGGAGAUUCCUCUUGAUCAACCUUAGAGCGAAGAGCAUAGAAGCGGUUCCUUUUGGGUGAAUCAGAACUAGGACCACUUGAUUGAGCUUGACUACUUCCCUCUUGACCCCUAGGCUUAAUCAUUAGAAAAUCCCUAACUUUAUGGCCAUAUUUUCCGCAAUCAAAGCAAUUACUCGUUCCCAUUAAACAUUCACCCAUAUGCUUCUUACCACAUUUGGAACAAGUAGGUUUCUCAGUAGGUGAAUUUCCACUUCUUGCCUUUUGGUACCUAGGGCUUGACACCCUAUCCUUACUAGCCUUGGGGAAAUUGGAAGAAACUUGGUUGGAGACCCUCUUCGUGAUCCUAGGCUUGUCUUGAAUUUCCAACCUACCCUUGGAAGUAUCUCCCUCAUAAGACAAUUGGUCUUCUUAAAUUCCCUAUUCUUCCUCUUGAUCCUAGUCUCGUCAAAUUGUUGAGCAUGCGCCAUUAAAUAUGAAAUGUCAAUGUUGUCAUGAAGCAUCACCGAGCGACACUCUUCCACAACAUCAUGGGACAUAUCCAUCACAAAACAACUCAUUUUAUCUCUAGGAUUAGACACCAAAGAUUGAGCAUACUUGGAAAACUUAGUGAAUUUCAAAGAGUACUCAAGUAAACUCAUACCUCCUUGACAAAUGUUGAUGAACUCUUCCACCUUAGCCUCUCUUUUUUCCCUUGGGAAGAACCUAUAAAUAAAGUCCCUUCUAAAGACUUCCCAACUUAUAGGACCCACUCUCAAAGAUCUAUCCAUUGAGUAUACCAUGUUUGAGCAACAUCCUUGAGUUGGCAUGAGUCUAGCUCGACCUUCUCAUUAGAAGUCACUCCCUUAGCAUACAAGAUCUUGUAGACCUUAUCUAGAAAUUCUUGGAGGUAUUCAUUCACCUUAGACCUAUUGAACAUUAUAGAGUUCAUCCUUGUUAAGUCUUUCAAGCGAGAAUCCAUGGUUCUAGCAUUUUGGUUCACAUGGGGUCUAACUUUCCGUUUUGCUUGAGCCGUCAUGGCUUGAGCUUGAGUAUCUAAGACUUGGGAUUAAGUAGUCAUAGAUUGAGUCGAAUUUUGAAAAUCCAACCUUAUCUCUCGAUCUAUCAUGGCCAAACGAAUGACCAGAACUUUAUCACCUUGUGGAGCUUGCUCUUGAAAAGGAGAUUGAUUACUUUGUGGAGGAGCUUGGUUGCCUUGUGUAGGAGCUCCCGCAUUAACAAUAUCUUUUUCAACUCUUCUUGCGGAUUCUGUUCUAGUAGUCAUAGCCUGUAAUUAUAAUUAAAGGGUUAGAAGAAAAAAGACACAUAUAGUUACCACUCUUGAGGCACUACUUUCAAGAUUACCAAAGAGAUGAGAAUUCCUAAGCAUCACAUAGCCUCUCAUUCAUAAGUGUGGCGCGUUUCACACCCAUGAACAAGACUCUGGGAGACGUGGUUUAGUGAGACAUCAAUCCUAACAUUACUUCAACCUCAUGCUCUGAUACCAAGUUUGUCACAACCGGGGAACACUCCCUAGACAUAACCAAUGUUUGUAACCUAGAAGAGAACUUGGACUAGCCCUUAGCAUUCGUCAUAACAUAUCUUAGAUCGAAAAUGCGGAAAAUUAAAAACUUUUACAUAGUGAAGUAUACUUAGACUUCUCAUAUAUCAUAUAUGAGGUUUACAUAGACUCCUUGCUUAUGAAGUUUACAUAGACUUCUCAUUUAGGGUAUAUAACCAAACCAUAAGAAAUAGUCUAAUACUUUGUCUCACAUUAAACCAUUUAAUAGAGAAUUACAAUAUUGAGCAUAACACUUACUUAAAUACAAUAUGCCACAUAUAGGCUUACAACAAUAGUCUCAAAAUAUAAAGGAAUGAACAAGUGUAUUUACACAUAAGAUACAUCAUAGAUAGAUAGAAGAAUGUCAAUAUCCUGAACAUGAAGACCUACCAAUAACUUGGGAAAAUGAUCAAGUCUUCCUUCAAAAUGGCCUCCUACACUUCAAUGGACCGAACAUACAUUGUUUGGGAAAAGAAAAAGAAUAUGGGUUAGUACAUUUACUUGUACGAAGUAUGGAAACAUAUGAACAUAAAACCUUUAAAAUGAUUCUUAAAAAGAAUUUUGUUCAAAACCAUGAUAAGUCACUUUGAAAGCCUUUUAUACACAUAUAAGAGCAUAUACAAGUCAAUAGGCAUAGCAUCAUUAAGACAAUUAAAUAUCCAACAUAAGACUAACAACAUCAUAAAGUCAUAUCAACAUGAAUAACUCCAACAUAAUGCCAUAUCAACAAUUAAUGUACAGGAGUUCAUAGCAUCAAAGCAUACAAGACCCUUACUCACCAUCCCAUCCCAAACCUACAGGUGUAAUACCCAUGUUGUAAGACCCCGAAGAUGACCCUGUUUAACUAGAGCCUAGAAUGUUAGUAUUGAUUUUAUAAGGUCCUAAAUGUUUCUAAUAAAUGGUUUAGAUUCAGUAUCUAAAGUAUUAGAGGUGUUGGAAAUCAAACGUCAAGGGACGACUAAGACGUUUGAUGACUAAGUCACCUAAAUAUCUAAAAUAUGGUUAUAUGUGUGUUUCAUGGUGUUAUAAGGUUAUUAAUAGAUUUAGUAUAGCAUGUAUAGGCAGUGGUUAAAGUUUCGUGAAUCUUGGAGGUCAAACGACCAAGAACGUCCAAGGCGUUCGAAAGAUAUGCUUUGAAUUGACCUUGUACAUCUAGGCGAGUUUUGUCGAGUUCUAUGUGUUAGUUUUUGAUGAAAUUCAAAAGAGAGGUGUUAAAAUUAUAGACGAUCGUAUUUGGUUUGGAAAAGUCCGAGAAAUUAUCCUCAAGGACCAUCUAAGGGCCCUUGAGGAAGGACCCAAAACUGUUGGCAUGGAAAUCCCAGGAGAAUCCCGAAUGAUGGAGCACUCGACGGCCAAUCAUGGCUGUGACGCCCUGUCAAAGGGUCCCUUCGUAAGGUACUUAACCAUGGGCGAGGAUAUGAACCUUGGAAAGCCACUGUUGCCACCGACGGAGGCCUGUGACGACCCGUUGAGGCUGUGAUGACCCGUCAAGGUCAGACGUCGCACGACCUGCCUUCCUGCGCAGGCUGCUGCCAAGUCAAGGGGUGAAUUGGUAAAUUCACCCCACUUCUAAAUUAAGUCAUUAACUGUUUAUUAAGGGUAUUUUGGGAAUUCUAAUUAAGUAUAUAAAGGGUAAUCACGUGGAAGACCUCAUUCUUCAAAAUCAUAAACCCAAAACUCUUAGAAAAUAUCCCAAAACCUCCAUUGAAGUCCAACUUGAAGAGGCAGCUUGGUGAGGGGUUUUUGUGUCAAAAUUAUUCAUCAAAGUGAAUAAUUAUCAUCCUUGAGUUAUGAAUUUUGAUCCUUGAAACUAGUUUCAUCAAGGAGCCCAAUUCUCAACAUGUUUUUCAAAGUUUUCUAAAGUGAAUUGUCCAAUUUCAUGAUUCUAUCAUGGGUUCUUACAUAAAUGAUUUCUAAACAUUGAAUUAUGAUCCAAUUGAUAUUGUAUUUAUGAUUUGAAUUUAAAUUUCCUAUGAACCCAUGAAUUUGGAUGAGCCCUAGUUUUUGACUAUAAUGUGGGUUACUUGAUAAUAAACUAAUAUUGAUGAAUUGUUAUGUAGUUUCUUAUGGGCUUUCUAAUGAUAUAUGAAUUUUAUUCAAUUGUUAUCUCAUUGAUCCUGUAUUGUUAAACCUAGAUUGAAUUGAUAGAGAUUUCAUUGGAUUUUAUUAUUAUUGCUUGAAUUGUUGGUUAUGGCCUUGGGUACGAGCCUUGUGAUGUUGAAUUGGACGAUUUAGCAUUGAAUUGAAGUGUGAAUAAGGGAAUGAAGGUAUGCUGCCCGCAUUUAUUUAAUUUUAUAUUAAUUAUACUUCGAUUCUAUUGUGAUUGGUAUGGUCCACUUAUGGUGGCGGUGUUAUGUGUUUUACUUGCAAUUGACUUGGCCUUAUCGGCGUUACUUUAUGCUAUAUUAUGAGCAUGGCCGUAUUGGAAACUACUUGAAGUUAUGUAGCUAUUUGUGUAGUUUGAUUAUGUGAAGCAUGACAUUACCUAUCUAUAUGUGAAGUUAUAUAUUCAUAUAUGUAUUCUUCUACUUAUGUUGCCUUAAGUUUCAUGCUAGACUAUGACUUUGACAUUAUGAUUAUAGUGUUAGGCUAAGUCUUGGUUAUUCCUAAUUGACUUUAUGAGUCUAUGUGGAGUAUAUUAAUGAUUUUAUGAUUAUAUAUAUAAGGACUUGAAGAUGUUAGGUUGUUUUAGAGGUGUUUCUAAAAUGACUUGUAUUAUGUGUUAAAAGUGAAGUAUGUGAUGUCUUGUCUUGAUUGACUUGUACCUCUUGUUUGAUGUAUAUAUGAUUAUGAAUAUGUGAUGUCUUGAUUUUGGGUGUUAGAACUCUUAGUCUUGAAUGUAUGAAUGACAUGUGACCUUAAAUAAUGAUAUGAGGGUCUAUUAUGUGAAAACCUUGACUUAAGGGUAAUGUUAAGAAUGAUUGAAGUGUAAGGCGUAAUGGUAUCCUUCAAAGUACAGGAAUGAUGGGCUUAAGGUUAGUUGGCUUGAAAGACAUCAUAUUAAUCCUUAGGAAACUCAUCAUGAGCUUCUUGUCGCCAUUGUGUGGUAGCCUUAGUGGACCUUCCUUGGUAGGAUAAAUGUGAUUGGGUUAUGAACUAGUUAUGGAACCUUUUUAUGUGAACCUAAUGUAUGAAUUACUCGAUGAGAACGAAGGCUAUCACCGAGUGAGUAUGGUAAGGGAAAGUAGUUCUAGUUAAGUAUGAGACUAGAAUACAAAGAAGCCCUUCAUAUUCCUUAACCAUGUGCCUACAUGGGAUGUGUCCAAGUUCUACCAUUGGCAAGUAGAACAACCUCAUCGGAGUAGGAUAGAACUUCGGAUUCCAUGUCUUGCUAUCAUGGUCUAUGUCAGUUAUUGCCUAUUCUCAUCAUAUGGAAUACCUAUUAGCAUUUCAAGAGUUUAUGAAGUUUAGGUGGUGGUACGGGACACUAUCUUGACAUUGCACAAUAGACUUUGAAGGUGUUAUGUGGAGUUCCUACGUCUUGUCUAAGACCAUUAUUUGAAUUUACUUUAUGUGAUGUAUGAUUCUUAAUGAACUACUGACUUAUGUUAAGGAGUAUGUAAAUAAAUGAGUACCUAAUCUAAAGUGGAUUAAGGAUUCCUUAGCUAAGUGAAAAGGGCAUAAGAGAUGAUCUCUUCAUGUCUUAUCUUUGGAAGUCUUGAGGAUGACUCUAGUUAGGGAAGUUGGUUGAUUUUUUGGACAUGAUCUAAGCCUUAGGUAGUCUUAAGGACUAUUUAGGUAAUCUCAAAGAGGUCACUAUAGACGUUAUCUUCUUGAUUUACUUAAGUAGGUCUUUUGAUAGCCUUUGGGAAGAGAAUGUCAUAUCAUCUAUGUGUUGGUGAUUUAUGUGAGUAUGAUUCUAUCUUAGGGAGUCUAUAGGAUCUCUUAAGUGUGUGUAAGGGAUUGUUGGGGCGGUCGCUUUACAACUGUCUCAAGUGAGACUUAGAGUUCACCUUUGGUAGAAGAAUCUUACCUUGAUAUUUGUGAUUGCUUUGUAAGUAUGUAUCUGACUCAUUAUAGGUAAUCUUAAGGGUCGUUUAGGCAAAUCUAGAGAGGGUGUAUGGGCGGUCUCUCUUUGUGUGACUUAAGUGAAUCUUAGGAUGGCUUUAAGUGAGGAAAUUACAUGCUAGAAGUAUUUUAUGUGUUUUCUAAAUUGAUUUAUGAUGUUAUUAUGAUUAUAAUAUGUUUUGAAAAAAUGAAAAGAUGCAUAUUUCCAAUAAAGUCCGUUUUCAUGAUUUUUAUGCAUAUAGCCAUACUUAGUACAUGUGGUUGUACUAACUCCAUGCUUUUAUAUAUCUAUAUAGUUCUUGGUAGGUGAGGAGCUUUGAGAAGUGAAGACUUGGACUUAGAAGAUCGUUCAAGAGAAGUUGAAGUAUGUCCUCACUUGACUCGAGGGCAUAUACGUAUUUUAUGUUUCUUAUUGAAGUUUUGUAAUAGAAUAAGUAUUUCUAUAUUUGUAUUUUGAAGUAUGGGUCGUGUACCAAGUAUUCUUGUGUCUUAAGAUGAUGAGAUUGAGACUUAGUAUUUCCUAUUACUUUUAUAUGAAAGAAAUGUUGAAGACUAUAUUAUGUUUUUUGAAAAGUUUAAUUCCGCACUACUUUUCACUAUGUAUAUGCAAUGAAUAAUAUGAAAGAAGCUUGUCUAAGAACUCUGAGAGUUCGAUGACGCCGGUCUCAAUCCGAGAUUGUGCCCUAUAUUCUAGGGUUUGGUCUUGGGUUAUGACACAUUUGAAGCCCCAUAACCCCACAUAACCAAGUAAACAAGAAAAGAGAUCAUAAGUAAUGUCUUACUUCAUAUAACAUAACAUCAUGUGUAGUCAACAUCAUAUAUAACCACUUAGACCAAUAACAUGUUUAUCAAUGAAACUAAAAUCAUAUAGGACCAUCAACAUGUAAAGUCAGCAUAUGCAUUUCAUUCAUAGCAUAAGAGCAUAAGAAUAACCUCUUAGGACUCCCCUCCAGGCUAACUUGUGCAAUGUAUAGGUAGAGUCCUAUACCCCUACCUACACUAUGUAGAACCCCUUAAGUACAUCCUAGUGAGUGUUCAGUUUAUUACUUUGAUUCAUUUCAUUUUACUUUGGGGAACAAUGGCCUUAACUAUAUAAUAGACCAUCUGAGCUAAACAUGGAUUUCGGUGUCAUGAAACCCCACACCGAAAACAUUGACAUAGAAUUCUAGGUGGAUCCACUUGCUAGUAUUCCUAUGGAGGCAACAUAGUUAAGGAACUAGAAGAUAUGUAUUGAACCCUUUACAUUCCCAUUAGGAUUGGAGUCCUCAUCUCAUGAGAAACCAUAGGGUGAACCUCCCUUCCAUUUUGGAGUCAACACCACUCAUUGUUAAGUUAAUUAACUCGGUGCUAAGCUAAAGUCCUUUUUUGAAAUACCUUCUAGCCUUUCUUAACCAUCAUAUCUUAAUAUAGGCCAUAGGAGACUAACCCCUUAUAUUAUCAUGAUAUUAUAUCAUUAGGUAUUCUAUGAGAAUUUCCUUUCAAGACAAUCCUUUAUGUAGUGAGAUCAUCAUAUCAUAGCAAGGAACACAAGUGAUUCAUAUUUAACCUUGUAUCAUCAUAUCCUUAACAUAAUCUUACAAUUUAACAUUUUCAUGGAAUUUCAACAUAAUAAUCAUAUCAUCAUCUUCUUAAUCUAAUAACAUAUAACACUUCAAUUGAAAAAUUAUCAUCAAGUAUAAAUCAUCAUAAUUGAAGUAAAGAACUUAGAUCAUAAAGUCGUUCCAAAUAACCUUCAAAAGUCUUCUUCAAGAUCUUAUCAUCAGUCCAACAAUAUUCAUCCAUCAAUUCACUUAUUAUCACCAUAUAAUAUUAAUUAUACAAGAACUAAGUCAAUUGUAUUAUCACUAAUCAAAUCAAUCUCAAUUCAUUACCUAGGGUUAAGGAAAAAGAUUCAAUCAUGGAUUCUUUCAUAGAACUACGUCAAAUUCUAAGAAAUAAAAAAAUUAAACCAUAAAAAUCAUAAUAUAUCAAUAAUAAUAAAACAAAUUCAACAUCAAAUCCAAUUGAAUGAUCAUUCACGAAAGUGGAAGAAAAACCAUGUUUUUGACAUAAUUAGAAACUAAUUUUGAAGAGCCUCUUGGGGAAAGAGAUCUCAAGAGUGAAUAGCUUCAAUACCUUAGGAUUACUUAAAUAUUUAUGGAGAAAAUAUUGAGUCUUGAAUCCCUAGUGAACCUUGAAGAUGUAUUCAAUGGGGUCUUGAAAUAGAGAGAGAAAGUAGAGAAAAGUUGGAGAGAAUUAGGUUUGGGAAUUAUAAGGUGUUAAGUUUGUUUAAGACUUAGGGUAGUUUAUAUAAUCAUUUAACUAACUUAAAUAACCACCCCUUAACGCUUAAUUAAUCACCUCACUAAUAAAAGCUUGGCCGAUUUUAAGACAGUGCACCAGACCCAAUCGACGACUGCACAUUGACGGCCCGUCGACUAGACCACGAUAUCGUACUGGAGCUCCGUGGUUUUGCUCAGAGAGGGUGUUUUGAACCCUUUUUGAAAUGUGUCUAUGUCCUGACCAACGACCUCCAUCAUGGGCCGCUGACCCAUCGACGACUCGUCUAUUGGUUCCGUCCUUAGCCAUUAUCAAGUGACCCUAAACAAACUCUAACACACGUUUAACACCUUUUUACAAAAUUUGACUGAACUCCAACUCUUAAAACUCCUUGAAAUAUGCCAAGGCACUAGUUCACAUUUAUGAUUCUUCGGACAUCAUGGUCGUUUCUUAAUGUUUUGACUCUAACACUUCCUAACUAGUUCCAACACAUUAGUUUAUGCUUAGAAACAGUGUUUUAAGGCUUGGUUCAUAUAGUGAGGCUCUAGAAUAAGUCUUGGGUUUUUGGAGAGUUAGAGAGUAUGGUUUGAUUGUGAUGGAAGUCGUUCCUACACUUGCGUUCUAAGAGUUUGAUACUCCUUUUCGGAAUAUAUACCAGUUCGCUGAUAAGAAAAAGAUCCACAUUGUGUUGUUUUUUUUUAUGUCAUCCACACCUGUGGUUUGUUUGAGAAUUCAUCUUCUUGGGAUGCUCUUGGAAAAGACUGAGAUAAAACUCAUCAGCAUAACAAUGUAAUCUAAACUAGGAAAUAGUGUCUUUUACCGUGUGGACACUUAGCUACUCCCUUCAAAUAAUUGACUUCAGUUUUCUUUCAAUUUUAUGCUUAGAAAAUAAUGCUUAAAUCUGAUAUUUGCUAUAUAAUUCUUCAAUGUACUUUUUUUUAUAUGAAGUAAUAAGAAAUAGAUUGAUGUGAUAUGUUGAUGACUCUCUAGAUGAUGUUAUUGAAAAUGAAAAUAAUGAUGAGGAUUCUUUAUUAGUAAGAUGAUGAUAAUCCAUUGGUAGCACGAUGAUAAUCCAUCAGUAGGAUAAUGCUACUACAUGAUAAGAUGAGAUGAUGCUACUCAAUCGAUAGGAUGAUGAUGAUGAUGCUACUGAAAAUUUUCCGUAGGAUAACAUUGAUUCAUUGGUAGGAUAAUAUUGAUGAUCAUUGAUAAGAUAAUGAUGAUCCACUGGUAGGAUGAUGAUAAUAAUCCAUUGAUAGGAUAAUGUUGAUGAUCCAUUGAUAGGAUAGUGAUUAUCCAUUAGUAAGAUAACGUUGAUGAUCCAUUGAUAGGAUAAAUGAUGAUCCAUUAGUAGGAUAAUAAUAAUGAUCCAUUGAUAGGAUAAUGAAGAUUAAUUGGUAGGCUGAUUAUCAUUAUCCAUUGAUAGGAUAAUGAUGAUGAUUCUUCAUUGAUAGAAUGACGAUAAUAAUAUGAUAAUGAUGUUGCCCCAGCGAUAGGAUGAUGAUGAUGAUGAUCCAUUGAUAGGAUAAUGAUAAUAAUCCAUUGAUAUGAUAAUAGUGAUCUAUUAGUAGGAUAAUGAUAAUUAUUCAUUGAUAGGAUAAUGAUGAUCCAUCGGUAAUGUUAUGAUAAUGAUCCAUUGGUAGGAUUUUCACGCUCAAAAUCUAGACCUCGGAUGAAACCGGGGUCGUUAACCUCUCAGAGGUUGCAGACAAGACUCUUCUAGCUUUCAUCACAAUCAUACAAUUAAAUUUGUGGAAAUAUUUUAAACUUUUAAUAUACUAAUGAAGUAUACUUAGACUUCAUACUUAAUAUUUAUAAAAACAUACGAUAUUCUAAAACUAUUGUCUCACAUAUAUAGAAACCAUAUAAAGAGUGCAAAUCUGAACUUAGCCAAUAAUAGUUAAUAUCCCCUAUAGGUCUUAUUACAAAAGAAUCCAAAGAACAUAAUGAAAAUAGCAUAUUCUUAAAACUACUAAGAAUCUACGUAAGCUAGAAUAUGAAAGAUAGCAUCCCCGAACAUGAGGACCUACCAAGACUUGGAUAAAGAGUUACAAGCUUCUUCAAAUCGACCUCCUUAAGCUUCAAUGAUCAGAACAUACAGUUGUAGUAAUGUAAAGUAAUGGGAUUAGUACGCCACAUGUAGUAAGUAUGGGCAUAUGCACAUAACACAUAAGGGCAUGCAUGAAAAAGAAUCAUUUAUCAUAUCUUUAUAAAACAUGUCAAGCCAUAUGAAAAUCUUCAAUGCACAUACCAUAUAAUAUAUACAAGAUAAGGAUUUCAUUGACAUCAAAUAUGAUAAUAAUUAAAGGCGUCUUAUCAUAAAGUCACAUCAACAAUUUAUAUUCAAUAAAUCAUAUAAAUAUAACAUACAAAACACUUACCAAUGUUCCCAUCCCCAACCUAAAAGUGCAAUGGUCAUGUGAAGCCCCAUAACCCCACAUAACCAAGUAGAUGAGAUAGGAGACCAUAAGUAAAGCUUUGCUUCAUAUAACAAUAUAACUCAAUAACAUAUUCAUUAUAAUAGCCAACAUUCAUGUAAGAGUAACAUUAUAUAUAAUAAACAUAUAUCUUUCACAUCAUCAAAUUACCUAAGAAAAAUCUCCUAGGACUUCCGUUAGAGUCAACUUGUGCAAUGUCUGGGUAGCAUCACAUACCACUACCUAUCCUAAGACAACUCCUCAAGUCACCCUAGUCAACGUUCAUUUACUUGUCUCUCAUUUUACAUGAGGGAACAUAUGCAUUAACCGACAUAGACCAUGUGAGCUAACAUGGAAUCCGAUGUCUUCCCCACAACAAAAAGAGGUGGUCUACCGGCCAAAGUAAAACCUACAUGACAUAGCUUUCUAGGUGGAUCCACCAGCUAGUAUCUUAUGGUGACAACAUAGUUCAAGAACUAGGAGAUGUAUUGGAGACCCAUAGUUCCACAUUACAUGGCAGCGUUAAUUUCAUGAGAAUCAUUGUGAACCUACUUUCCCCUAGGGAAGGGACAUUUCCCAUAUCUAGUUCAUCGGUGCUUAGUUUAAGUCCUUUUCUUGAAAUAACCUUUAAUUUUUUUUCAUAAUAAACUUAUCAUAGGUCAUAGGAGAUUAUAUCCUUGUAUAACAUGAUCAUGAUCUCUUUUAGAUUAGAUGAGAAUUGUCCUUUCAUCGUAACCUUCUUUUGUGAGAUUAACAUAACAUAAUCACCUUGUGUAAAGCAUACAAGCAAUAUCAUAAACUUGCAUAUUCGUGUUCUUAUCAUGAUCUCACAAUUUACAUAUUCAUAGACAACAUAUUCACAUGGCAACAUCGUACAUACUUUUUAUAACAUGGCAUCACAACUUAUAGGCUAGCAUAAAUAUCUUAGAGUAAUCACAGUUUUAAAAGACUUAUCUCUUGUUUCCAAGAACCUUAUUCAUCAUGCGAUAUUCAUAAUAAUACUUAGUGAAAUACUCAUUGACAUAAUCAAGAACAACUCAUAAAAUCAUGUACAAGAUCAAUACAUAGCAUAGGAGAAGGAAACGGGUCAUUAAAGGGUUCAUUCAAAUCUUAGAUUCUAACCGUAACAUUUACAUGUUAUUACGUCAUAGAAACAAUCAUAUGAAACCUUCAUAUAGGUAAGAACGUUCCUCACACUAAAUUCAAACAUAAUUAUCAGCAUACUCAUCAAGUUGUGUGGAAUGGUGCAUAGAAAACACAUACUUUUCAUUGAAAAUAAUAAAUCUAGGCUAGGAAGAAAAUCCAUUUUGUAUUGUAAAAACCCUAGAAUUGAAGUUCUUGAAAACUUAUCUUGAAAGGACGUCUUGGGGAAAGGAAUACCAAGAGUGAAAACUCAUACCUUAUAGAUGAAUAAUCCAUGAAUUCUUGAUUGGAAACUUUGAAACCUUUGUCUUCUUCCUUAAACUUUUUUUGUUGUUCAAUGGAGUUUGGAAAAGAGAGCGUUCUUGAGAGAUUAAGAGAAUUUCGUUUGAUUCUGAUUUGGGACGUUUAAAUGUGGUCUAAAUUUGAUCUAAAAUCAUUAUACAUAUGUGCCAAGACUCACCCUAAAGACCCUCGACUUAAAUUUCCUAAAACGCCCCUCCUAAAUUGAUUACAAGUAGGAGAACGUUUGACUUAGGGUCUCGGGUUUUGACUAGGAAUUAAAUUAAUUAAUUAAGUUGCUAAUUUAAUUAAUUAAGUGACCUAGGGUAAUUACUAAAGUACCCCUAAGUUGUUAGGACAUAACAAAACCUUUUGGACAAUCCUAUGUUAAGUACUAGGAUGUUUCUUUAAUUAGUUAUUCAUUUAGUGUUACCCGGUUAGGUCUUAGGUAGUCGGGUUCACUUGUUAGUUUAUUUUUGUUUGUCCUAUGUUAGUUAGAUAUUUAGGUAAGUUAGUUAGGUCGUAGGACUGGUUAGGAAUCUUGACCCCAUGUGGCUUGGACCGCCGUGCGCCUGCCCCCUAACCGAAUUUGGUUGGACUUGGUUCCUUGUCUCCUGGCCGGCAGCACAUGUGUUCUUGCGCCCUUCUUGUUGUCCUAAGGAUCCUCACUAUUUCCUUGGGCACUACUUAAUCUACACGAUCAUUUUAAAAAGUUAUGUGCUAUGGUACCUAGGUUUGACACUUGGAUGCCUCGUACCUAAUGUGUUUACUGAUUGAUUACGAAUUAUAUCCUAGGGUCUUCAUUGUAGGUACAAUUUCUAAAGAAGCUUGGAUUGGGGAAUUUGAACAUCAAAGUAUAUCUUAAUACAUAGAAAUUGGCUAAACAUCAAAGUGUAUUUUAAGUUACUUGUUAAUAUAUAAAAAUUGGCUAACACCCUUAAGUCAAUAUUCUCUAACAUGCCCAAUAUUACUAAAUAUUGGACAAUGGGAUGUCAAUGUACCCCAAUACAUAUUCUUAAAACCUAAUAGACCCUUUACUAGACAAAUAUAUUUUCUGGGAACAUCAUUAUUAAAUAGAUUAAGCUCUAUUCUAAGUCAUGGAAUUUCCGGAGUGUUACAAGGAUAAUGCUAAUGAAUAUCCAUCAAUGCGAUGAUUUUGAUCCAUUAAUAGGAUAAUGAUAAUGAUCCAUUGAUAGGAUAACGAUAAUGAAUAUCAAUUGGUGGGAUAAUAUUGAUCCAUAGGUUGGAUACUGAUAAUGAUCCAAUGAUAGGAUAAUGAUGAUGAUCCAUUGAUAUUAUAAUGAUAAUGAAGAUGAUAAAGAUUCAUCCGAAGUAUGAUGCUGAUAACGAUAUGUCGAUAAGAGUAUCCCGAUAAUAAUUAAUUUCUCAGCUUCCUAAUUUUAAAUGAUUUAGAAUAAUUAUCUUUAUAAAACUCAAAUAUCUUUUUGAGGCUACUUUAAGUAAUUUUAGCAGAAUAUAAUAGCAUUUUAUAAUUAUAUAUGUAAUAAGCAUAUUUUAUAAACAUUUCAAAAAUAAUCUCAAAAAUAUAUUAAUUUUAGUAAAUAGUUUAUUAAAUUAGUUUAAAUUAUGAUUAUAUAUUUGAAUCUUUAGUUUACAAUUAAGUUGUCUAUUUAAUACAUUAGGAUUAAGAAACUCGUUAAUUAAUCUAUACUAAUUAUCUUAUGUAGUUAUUGGUCAAUUACUUUAAACGCUUUAAAAGACCAAAAAUUGAGCUUGUUUCCAUCAACCAAACUUUCGGCAAAACCGACCCAAUUUAAUUCCAAAGAAACCCAACAAUAUUAGCCGAACCCCAUAACACAUUCCAAAUAACCCAGCAGCGAUGCAAUACAGUACAAUAAACCGACCCAUGCAUUCUUCCUCUUUUUCCUCGUGUAGUCCAGCGAAAAAACGUGAAACACAAAAACUCAUCCAGCCUAGCGAACUAAACUUGCGACCUGAGCCCACUCUCGCGCGUCAUCCUCUUCUCUCCGUAUGGAGACCAUUUUGAAAAAUCAUCCUUCAUCAUUGAGGUUGAGCAGUCUUUACGCCUUUCUAGUCCUUGCCUUGCCUGGAGUCAACGGUUGUUCUCUUUAUCCCUUUGAGAAAUUGUACAAAUAUGUACAAGAGUAGAGCUAGAAUCCUUAUCCAAGAGGGGAUUCGAAUUUCAAAUUCACCCCUUUGCUUUACCUGAUUUCCACCCAUUCGGCCCCGUCUCCUCAUCUAUAUAAACACUCUCUUCCUUAGAAAGUUAAGGGUUGGGAAAAACAGAGAUUUUUUAGUAGGGAAGUAGAGUUUGAGAAAUAUAUCCUCAUGCAAGAAUUUAUUGAGAAAAAAGAAUCACUAAACUACAACAUUCAUGUAAGAAAUAUAUCUUAAUAUAUACUUCCCUUCUCUGUUUGUGAGUCAAUGGGAAGUUUUCAGAUUUUUGAAGUCUGAAGUUGUGUUUGAAGUCAUUGAUCCUUUGCUCGUCUUGUCUCUUCCGGAAAAGGUAACACUUCUUCGUUUGUGUCAUUCUCCUUGUCACUUCCUCUAUAUCGACACGUUGUUAUCGAAUGUUAUAAGGAUCCUUAUUCCGUGGUUGUUUGUUAUUAACUACCAUUGACUAAUGAUCUUUUUAAAUUAACACAAAUAUUGUUAAUGCCGAUCGCCGCGCCCGCGGCCUUCGUUGUUUCUGCCGUAGCCGCCGCGACUCCCCUGCCGGCCGCCACCAUGCCCCUCAUGAUAGUUCUGGCUUGCGGUGAGGGCAGUGGCCAGCUCCAUAACAGCGGAUUCUCGGAGAAGAAGUUUGCUCUCCAGAUCCACGUUGAUUUCUUCACUUUUUAGCCACGAGGAGAGAGUAGCCAGGUCAACGGGCGUUGGACUGAUGCGAACCGCCUGUUUAAUGGAGGAGUAAGCUAAUGGGAGCCCCCGAACGACGCACAUGACGAGAUCUUUUUCGGGAAUGAUUUCGUUCACGGUGUCGAGGGCUGUGAUGAUGGUGGAGACCUCGUCUAAAUACUCCGCCAUAGUUUUCGUGCCUUUGGUAAUUGUGUGGAGACGAUCACGCAAUUGAAAAAUAUGAGAGUGGGAAAUUGAUGCAUAGCGUGUUGCGAGGGCCGUCCACAGGGCUGAAGCAGUUGUGUAGGAUCGGACGUGUUUCUGAACCGUGGGAGAGAUGACCGCAAUCAAACAUGAACGGAUCUGGCCAUCCACGGCUUUCCAGACGGCAUGGGACGGAUUGGUUUUUUCUGAUUUGUCCAUGGCGGUGAUGACUGCCGGCGGCGGUUCUGUGCUUCCAUCGACGUAUUUGAGAAGGUAAUUGGCCUCAAGGGCUGUAAGAACGGUGAUUUUCCAUGUAGGGUAAUUUAUGUCAGAUAAUUUUUUGGGAAUCAGGGCAUGAAGAUGCCUGAGAAGGAGUUUAACGCCAGAAGGAAGUGAAUCGAGAGGAUCCACCUCGGUUGUCAUGGCUGCCGCCGCCCAAGAGAAGAGCGGGAACGAUCGGUGCCCUAAAGAGAGAAAAAAAACCUAGAGAAAAGAUGAUCUAGAUUUUCUGGCUCUUGAUACCAUGAAGGAAUAUUGGUUGUAUUGAAGUGUUAACCUAAUAAGGGAAUACAUGGGAGAUAUAUAUAGGAGAUAUAGGAAGGAAUACUAAUCCUAAUAGGACUAGGAUUAAGGAGUACUAAUCCUAAUAGGACUAGGAUUAGUACACAGUAAAUACUAAUAUUAUUUAAUACUAUUUAUUUAAUGCUAUCUAUUAUUAUGAUUCAAUGAUUCUAUGCUUGUUUUUUACUUGUGUUUCUUCUUGUUUCAAUGCUUCAUCUCUAAUCAUUUAAACUAGUUUUUCCUCUUCAUUUGGUAUGUUCAAGAUGCGUGUUUAACACUGUUUAUCAUCUCUUUGUACCUUUUAGUAAUAAAUAUCAUUUCCUUUGUCUUAGCUCUCGAUUGCAUGCUCAUUAUCGUUCUCUGUCUUCUUGCAAUUUGAUGACAAGCUGGUCAUAGUCUCGAUAAUUAUGUAUUGAAGAUCUGAUCUUGUUUGUUAGAUGAAACAUGUUUCUUCUUCUCAUUCAUGCCUAAAAUUUCAUUAAAAAAGUAGAAUAUUUUACCAAUUUUAUCCACUUCUUUGCUCUUGUUCAACAAGCUUAAGUUUAUCCUAUACAUGAAUUUAUUACUUCGUUUGCUAAGUCUCAUAUUGCAUUUUAGUGGCAUCAACUAUAAUGGUCAGCUCUAUUUUUAGAUUAACAAUGACUUAUUUGUCAUUAUUUUGUCUAAGUAAAUAGGCCUAAUUCCCUUCCAUUUAGUCACUGUUAGCCAUACGUCUUAGUUGUCACUACUAUUUGGUGUCCUACUAAUUAUUUGGGGAUUAGUUUUAUGUUUAGUGAAAGCUCACUAAGUAUUGUAUGCAUUUCUUUGUCAUCUUGCAGUAACAUGCGGAUUUAACUAAUCAUUAGCAUGCGUACUUUCCCCUUAUUUCAUUUUUAUGUCUUAGUUGUAUUAUAUAGAUUUAAGGUGCGCUUAUUUCUAAUUUCUAUCUUUGUUUCGUUCUUUCAAUGUAUAAAUCGGCUUCCCUAGAGUCUUUGAAGACUCUUUUUCCUUGCAUUCCACUGAUUGGGCCACAAAGUCCCAAUUUCCUCUCUUUAUCGAGUCGGCAGGUUCAAAAAGUUAAAUUACAGGUUUCCGAAGGUUAAACAAAGCUGAAUGCGAAUUUUCGAGCUCUGAAGUGCCCAAAAAAGGGGUUAUAUACACUAAUAUAUUUGAUGUAUACAGUGGUGUACUGUAGGAAGUAUAACAUACGGGUACAAAAUACGACGAAGCAGGUUGAAAGAUACAGAUUAAAACGAAAAUAUAGAUUCAGGAGUCCAAAAACAAGUCAUAUAAAUGGUGUGUAUAUCAGUUAUAUAGUUGGUGUGUUUCUUGUCAUUUGAAAGUGCAAAGAAGCCCCAAAAGUUUAAAAGGAUGGACCAACAACUGAAUUUUGAGUAAACAUGACCAAACUGAUGUUUUGGGUAUUUUAGUAUUAUGAGAGGUUCAUGGAUUUGAGCUAAAGGCCCAAAUUUAAUACUUCCUCCCCUUUCCUACUAUUUAUUUGUUAUUGUGUUAACUAACAUUAUAUUUAAUCUUUAGUUUUGGCUUAGUUGACUCCCAAAGAAAGUCAUUUCUCAUUAUAAAUUUUAAUUUUAUUUUCACUAUUCGUCUUAUUAACAUUUGAAAUUAUUUUCCUUAGAAAAUCCCCCGUUAGUUUGUUUCCAUUUGAAAUAAUUAAUUAGAAAACUAAUAGAAAUAAGUAAAUAAAUAAAAACUGAAUUUUCUUUACUUAGUUAAAAUUUAGAAAAAUUAUUUGCAAAACGUCAUUUUAGUCAAAUCACCGGUCAAUCGAAAGUUAGCCGACAUUCCGAGGGUCUAACACCUUCUCGAAAUGUACAUUGAAUUUCGAACCUAUUUUUCGAAUUAAUUUUAUCUGUUAAGUCCUUUUUAAGACCUAAAGUUUUUUUUCUUGAUUUUUAAUUACUAAAAAAUUAAGUGUCGACACUGUUUAUUUGAAAAUUUUAUUUCACUUAAAUCAUAAGUUUAAUCGUUUUUUCAAAAAUCUAGUAAUUUUUCUUUUCUUUAUAUUUCAAAGUAAAAUAGAAAUGACGACUCUGCUGAAAAAUUAAUUAAAAUCUAACAAAAAAGAUUUGACUAACUGACUAAUUGCUAUUAUUGGAUUCUUUAUCUAUGAUUAUUGUGUUUAAAUUUUAUAACUAUCAUUGCAAUGCAUCUUCCAAUAUGUAUGUAUAUUAUAUUAAAUAACGGUUUGCGAAACCGCAUCCAGAAUUUUUUAUGCUAUUUUCUAAAAUUAUCGACAAUUUAUUGGUUUGUCAUCUGUCCAAUGGUUGUUUUAAGUUCUAGCCUAAGUUGUCCACUUGGGUUCUUGGUCUUUUCAAAAGUCACUCUUAGUCAACUAGCGUAGAGCUGAACCAAAUCUCGAAUUUAAGAGCAUUUUGAACUACGAUGACCCAACAACCAAGGCGUGCUGGGCCAUGAGAAGCACACCUUGUGUGUAAUCGGUCCAUUUGCCAAUAAAUAGACAAUAAUGUGUAUCUGUUAAUUGAAGAAUGUAUAUGUAUUUUAAAACAAAUUUAUUGUUUAGGGGGGUAGGGGUAUCUAACCUUUUUUUGUUAUUCUUGUAGGAUGAAUCCAACACAUGAGUCUCUGAAAACUCGAAUGGUUAUCUUAAAUGAUCCUUACCUCAAAGUGUAGUGGACAUUCAUAAAUUAUACAGACAAAAUAAAAUUUCAUAUGCUCAUAGGCUACCUCCCGUCACUAUUGGAAAUGAAGGCUUGGCCCGGUUUAAUUAGAACAAUGGAAAAGUUUUGGGAUAGUGAAAAUAUGGUAUUUUGGUUCAGAGAAGUUGAAACGACAUCAACUAUUGUAGAGGUCUUCACAAGCUAUGAGAGUAUCGACACGUGCAACAAGAGGAAGCGACAACCAGAUACAGAUUUUCUAAACUCCAAAAUAUGGGAUUUCUACAAAAUCAAAGAAAAAUUGUCACUCGUCAUAGUUGUGUGGAUGGUCAAGCUUAUCGGACCAAACAUUCCAUUUAUAAAGCUCUAUUAUCGAUUUGGACGUGCAAGAGCUUACGAGAAAUUUAAAGAAGAGUUCAUCUCAAAAGAAAAAUUGAAGGAGCACGCCCUCUCGCCUUUGCGAUAUGCUUACUUGGAAUAAUGGUGUUUCCUCAGAGACCUAACUACACUAUUCAUCCAAUUAUAGUAAUGAUCACUCAUGGCAUCUUCUACAGAGUGAACUACAAGUCAUUAACUAAGUACUACACUUUGGCGCCUAUGAUCUUGGCCGACAUUUACAGGGCUCUAGAUAAGUGAUAAUAUGAGGCCAAAAAUAUAUAUUUUAAUCAUUAUUUGCCUCACAUUUAUUAUUUAUAUUUUUCCUUUUUGAGCAUGAGAUUUAUGGAUUGUGCUAAAUAGUGUAUUUUAUUUGUAGGAAUAAAUUACCAUAAAGUUGAAGAAGUUUUGAGCUAAAAUUAAUUAAAUAUAAAAGAUUGGAGAAGGAAAUCAAGUAGACAACUUAAUGAAUUAAAUUCAACAUUUUAAUGUAUAAAUAUGUUAAGUGUAGUUAGUUGCAGCAAACAACGAAAAUCCAAGAAUCCUUACUGCUACGUGGCAGCAGUUGAAUGCAACAGAAGUGGCAUUCUUUUUAGGUGGCAAACCAACGUAGCAUUUGGAAGCGGAAUUUCGUUUGGUUUUGAAUUCCCAGUUUGUUUUGGAUUUAGUUUUUUAUUUAGGGUUUUAUACAUCUUUAAAUAGUUCAUAGAAAUAACUAUUGAGAGGUAUCAAUCUAGAGAGGAGGUACUUUGGAAGAGAAAGUCGUCAAUACUAUUAGGGUUCUUUCCUACUUCAUGUUUUCUUAGAAAUUAGUAGCUAAAGUCCUUGUUUUGGGGCUGUAGAUACGGAUCAAAUGUUGAUUAUUAAUGGUGUUUUGAAUUAAUUUUUGAUUGUCAUUAUAAGUUACUUCUAUAUUCUUGUUUCAGUAGUUCGUGCUUGAUCACCAUGAGAUAAAUCUAUUGUCUAAUCUUAAAAUCGAGAGAAGAGAGAUUAGAUAGACCAGAGAAUAUAGAGAGCUCGAUUGACCCAUUAAAUUGAGGUGAUUUGUAUUUAGGAGUGAUGCCCGGAUGAACAACUUUCUUGGUUACGAAAUAGGAUGAAAUAUAAAUGUUCGUCAACUAGUUCACUUAUCCCUGCUCAACGAUGUAGUUAGGUAUCUAAUUGGAGUUGGCGACAAGAGGUGUUACCCCACUCAUACAAGUAACUGUAUAAACCAGUAACUUGACAACUAAAAUUAGUUCUAAGCCAAAAAUAUAAUACAUGAAAUCCAAUAUAUGCUGCAGCCCUGGGAUUUUUCAACCAUUGUAAGUAAAUUUAUUAUUUUAUUCUUGCAAUCUUUUGACACUCUUAAAUAAAUAAUUAGACUAGUAUAAUUUAGUAAAAGUAAUUAAUUGGCAAGUACUUUGAAAUUGAUAAUUUGGUUCUUUUUAAGAGUCACUAUAUUACUUACACGACUACAUACACUUGUGUGUGCAAUUGGGAGCAACAAGUGUCAAAGCGUAGAACGUUUAUUUAAGGGAUGCAACCUAAUACUUCAAUGGUGGAUGAUGCGACAUAUGAUCAACACUAAUAAUCCUAAAGAACCAGAUCACGUAAGACGGUCCGACAAACUUGAAGGUCACAAUUGGUGGAUGUACCAUAAUCAUUGCAACAAAAUCGGAGGGGAAAGUUUAUGGUAUCCGAGACUUCAAGGGUUAAGAGAAGAGAAUGUGCAGUGGUCGAUACAAAGUAUAGUGGUGACAAAGAAAAUGGAUAUUCAAGCGGAAAAGGUCCCUUACUUGAUAUUUGCUGGAUUAAGAGGGACUAUACCGUAAGUUCCAGGUCGAGUCCUUCGGCAACUACGGGGUAAAUAGGAGAUUUUCAAAUUGCGGACAUGAGAAAAUUUGCAACCGAUCAUGAAAAUGAACGAAUUACUUUUGCUGAAGACAUACGUGGAAUACGGAGUACUCAAAGGGUAUUGGGUGAGCCGGUACCAAACAGGUUUCAUCCUGAAUGUUCUAAGGAUUACAAUGAAUGGUUGAAGAACAACCUCGCUAGAACUAUUGAGUCUGGUCCGAAUGUUACUCACAUUAUUACAAUUGUUGGAUCCAAACAUCAAGUUAGACUUUAUCGACUCCAAGAGAAGUUUGAUAAGAAUGAGUUGGAGCAUCAACGCUGGCAUGCAGAAGACGCUGAAAUCAUAGCUCAAUUAAAACAAUAUUUGCGAAGAUCCAGGCAAUGCAUGUCAUAAUUGGAUGAUAACAUGGAAUAACACAUUCAGUCGGUAGAGAGGUUUAGACAUCAAGAAGGAUCUCGUCUGGCGAGAGAUCACCUAUGAGCGAACAUAUAUACUAUGUGGGAAGAGGUCAACACCCCCAAGAGGACCAGACUUGGCGAAGGAUCAGGGAAAGCUUGAAGUUUAUUAUCAUCUUCAACGUGGGACUGAUUAUUUGUAUCUUUUUUUGCCUUAUUUUGUAAUAAUAUUUGAAAUUAUUCACAAAAUUUUGGGGAAUAAUGAAAUAUUUCAAAUGGCAUAAUAUAUCCUUCAGAUCGAUAGGCCUACCCUUGGCAUAAAAUGGUCACAUAUUUGUAUAGGAUGCGCAAUUAUUUCUUGUAUGUUGUGUAAUGUAUAUAAUUGAGUUUGUCUUCAAUCAACAUAGUGCUUAUGUGUUUAAUUGAUUCUUUGUGUGAUAUUUUGGAUUAUCAUUAUGAACACGAAUUAACACUUUUACCUUUUGAGUUUUUGAUUUAUGUUAGAAUCUAGAAGUAAGUGUUCGCCCUAAAUUGCGUAAGACAAGAGGAUACACUAAAUUCGAGUCUUUGUAUUUAACAAGACAUUAAUCUCAAGUCAAAAAGAAAAAUUAGGGGAGUCCUUGACUAUGAAGUUACAUUUCUUUAGUUUAUUUGUUUUUUAUUAUUAUGGCCUUGCUUUCACACAUAUCUUAUAUUUCUGUAAGAAAAUCAUUCAAGAUAAUAGUCGCGGAUGGUCAUAACAAUGCAUAGUUUUUACGAAUAAUUGGGAGAAGACACAGUUCCAAGAGACGUUCGGAAAAGAAUACAACAACAAGUAGUUACCGCAAAAAAAAAGAUAGACCACAUUCAACAAACAGUACAAAGGUCUACAGUUAAGAGGAUACAAAGAAUUCCUCUGAGAUUGUCUAAAUUUAAAAAAAAAUUAUGUCAUAUCGUAAGAACUACAUGAACCUUAUUCUCAUUUUGUUGAGAUACGUAAGCGACCUUUCUAGGGUUCAGUAUUUAUAAUUUUAUUUUAUUUUAUUUAAAAAAACAAAAAAAAAGUAAAAUAGUUUGUGCAUAUUUGAAUGAAUUAUGUGAACCUGACUUUCAUUUUGAUGAGAUACAUGGACAACCCUUCAUGGGUUCGGUAUUCAUUCUUCUAAACUCAAAAAAAAGAUUCAAAUAGUUUGUUCAUGUUUUCAAAGUCACACGUACUUGAUUCUUAAUUUAAUGAGAUGCGUAGGCAAUCUUUCUUGGAUUUGGUAUCCAUUUUUUCAAAAGUAAAAUAAUAUUGUGUGCAUAUUUCAAAAUCUUAUAUGCAUGAACUACACUCACUUGAUUCUCAUCUUGAUGAUAUAUGUUGGGAACCCUCCUAGGGUUUGUUAUUCAUUCUUUCAAAAAUAAAAAUAAAAAUAAAAAUUAUGUAUAUAUCAUAAUAGUCAUGUCUUCGACUUAGUUUGGACCAAUGGAGUUAGGAUCAUGUAAAAAUAAUCAAUAUGAUAAAAAGGUUGACUUUUUGGUAAACCAUAGAUUCUUUUGAUACCUCUCAUUUGUACUUUGGUGAUGCUUGAAAGUUAUCUUGCAGACAUUCAAGAUAAGAAUAAAACAAACUGCAUGAUUUCAUGUGCAUGGUGCGGAGAGCUUUUACAUCAAAAUUCAAUUGCAUUGCACUAUUGAUCUAGAACUUGGCCUGAAUGUUUUUUAGGCGAUAUCCUGAGUAAUGUUUGGCUCGUGAAAGGAUUGUAGGCCUUUUUGGACCCGAUUUUGCCUUUCAACCUACCGAAUGAUAUCAAUCCCUAUUUUUCUCACUUUUAAGCCUAAAGCCUAUUCUUUGGAAAUCUACAUUUUAGCCAUUACACUUUUGAGUGCUUACAUGCACUAGCCCUCUCUUGAACUAACCUUUUUGAGUGCACCAAGAUUGUGCAAAUUAAAAGAGAAAAUUCAUUUUCAAUUACCAAAGACAAAGAAUGAAGUCUCCCAAAUUCAAGAAAACAAAAAUGACUUCUACAAAAUGAACAAAAAGAAAGAAAGAGAAAAGUUUGAAAUAUAUAAGGAAAGACAGUAACACCCUUACAAGGUCAAUGAAAGGUGGGAAGGAAAAUACUCCAACAAAAGAGGAGAAAAGUUUAUAAAAAAGGAGUGAAAUAAAAUAAAGCUCCAAGAAAUAAAGAAUCAAAAGAAGUCAAAACAAAAGGGUGAAAAAAGAAAAAACUCCAAGAAAAGAUAACUCAAAAUAAGUCAAGAAAAAAGAAGAGGAUAGUGAAGAGGAUCAGAUGUCAAAGGUGUAUCAAUAAUUUAAAGCACAAAUUCAUUGUGGCACUUAAGAAGGAAUUAAGUCACUCUUGUCCCAAAUAUAUAUCCUGCUUGUCCCUAAGCCUACGUUACAAGACAGUGGCAAGCCCUACAUGAUCUCAUUCCAAAUGUUCUCACAUUAGUGGAGAUUAACAUAAGGGUCAAGUAUAUGGUAUCACAGUUUCAUGAAUUAAACAUUUUUGUGAGUGUGAGUGCACUCUGAAAAAUGUCCUCAAAUCAAACGCUUUGAAUAUGUGUGAAAUAAUAAUUGUCUUUGUUGUGAGGGCACGUGAAACAUAAGAAUUGGUACAAUUCAAAACCUUUGUUUGAAGCAAGAUGAACAACUCUUGUUGAUUUUUAAGUAUGUUUGAGGUAACACUUGAAGAUGAAGGAAUUACCUAGAAUUAAAUCUUAGUUGAAAAAAGAGAGAAUGAGAGAUUUUCCUGAAAUCCUGACUGUUGGUACCAAUUGAAGUCAAGAUUUGACUAUUUCACCACAUUCUUUAUUUAAAAAACAAAAAAAAGUGAGAAAGCACCGACUCUUUAAUAUUUUACAAACCUUUAGAGUCUUUCCAUUUAAAAGAAGAAGAAGAAGAAGAAGAAGAAAUUGUCUUAUUGAGUUGUUCGUUGUAAAAAAUGUCAUUAGGUUAAUCUUGUAUGUGUGAGAGUCCUAUUUUACUUCAUUGGGUUGUCCGUCCCAAAAUGUGAUAUAUUGUCUUUAGGCUUUAAAUAUAACAAGGAAUAUUAUUUUUAUAUUUCAUCAUGUUCAUAUUGUGCAUUUUCUACUGAUAAUCGCUCAGAUUCUUUGUAGUAUUAAUCAUCUUACAGGAUUGGAACUACAUUUGACCUGAUUCCUGGUUCAACAGGAUCUGUAGGUGCCACUACGGCUCGGUCAUAUACCAAGUGUGAUUUUCAUUUCUCUUUGAAAUAGAAACUAGGACAAAUUUUUUUGAGAGCAUCUAAAAAACUCACAAUAAAAGUGCUAACUCCAUCAAGUCAAGAUUGUAGGUCAUUUUGAGAUUUGCCAACAGUUAUAAUUGGGGCAGAAUUUUUUAGGAAGACCUCAAAAGUUUCAACAAGUAUUAUGAGAAACUUGAUAUUCAAUUUCAAAUGAUCCAUCAUCGCUUAAGGUUGAAAAUAAACUUGCAAAUCUCUAGCAUUUUCAUGGCGAUCCAGCAUCUUCUCGUACAAAUCCCCAAUAAAACAUGAGUUUCAAAGAACAGAAAACGUUCAAGAGAAAAAAUGAUGAUUUCUCACUUGUGUAAAAGUGAAAGCCUAUUUGUACAUAUUCUCUUGUGAAUCUUUCCUUGAAGUUUCUGUAUCAUGUUGCUACUAAAGCAACAUCGUGUCUUUUAACUAUUCCUUUUUUAAUAUAGGGGCACAUGAGAGUAUCGAAUGAUGACAUUUUCAAGAUACAGGAGCAAUUCACCUCAUUUUAGUUUGACAAUCACCGAGUCAUCCACCUUCUUAGAGUGGAAAAUCAUCCACCUCGAUAUAGUAGACAAUCAUCAAGCCACCUCAUUACAGUUGGAAAAUCACCAAGCCAUCCACCUCAUUACAGUGAAAAAUUAUUAGGACAUCCAUCAUUUGUACUUUUCAUAGUAUUUUUAAUUGCCGAAAAGUCAUAAAAUUUUUCAUUUGCUGAGAAGGUCUUACAUUUAAGUUGCAUUUAUUCGGAGGUGAAGGAUGUGCACCAAAUCUAUUGAGCUUUCAAGUCGGUGGAAACUUACAUCGAAAGAUAUUCAUAUGUAAGUCGCAUCUAUUUGGAGGUGAAGGAUGUGCACCAUAUCUUUUUAAUGUUCAAGGCGGUGGAAACUUGUUUUGAAAGAUAUUUGCAUGUAAGUCGCAUCUAUUCAGAGGGGAAGGAUGUGCACCAUAUCUUUUUGACGUUCAAGUCAAUGAAAACUUGCACUGAAAGAUAUUUGCAUUUAAGUCACAUUUAUUCAAAGGUGAAGGACGUGCACCAUAUCUUUUUAACUCAAGUCGGUGGAAACGUGCGUUGAAAGAUAUUUCCAUUUAAGUCGCAUCUAUUUGGUGGUAAAGAAUAUCACGAUGUCCUUUUAACGUUCAAGUCGGUGGAAGGUUGCAUUUAAUUCGCAUCUAUUCGGGGGUGAAGGACUUGCACCAUAUCUAUUCACUGUUCAAGUUGGUGGAAACUUUUGUUGAAAGAUAUUUGCAUUUAAGUCGCAUCUAUUCGAAGAUGAAGGAUGUGCACCAUAUCUUUUUAACGUUCAAGUUGGUGGAAACUUGCGUUGAAAGAUAUUUGCAUUUAAGUUACAUCUAUUCAGAGGUGGAGAAUUUUCACCCUAUCUAUUCAAUGUUCAAGUCGUGGAAACUUACGUUGAAAGAUAUUUGCAUUUAAGUCGCAUCUAUUUGGAGGUGAAUGAUGCGCACUCUAUCUAUUCAACGUUCAAGUUGGAGGAGACUUGUUUGAAAGAAGUUUUAUUCGUCCUAUCGAUGGACCUACAUUCAAAAUCCUACUGAUGAAUUAUCAUCUUUCCCGUUCGUCCUACAAAUGGACAUACAUUCAAAAUCCUACAGAUGAAUCAUCAUAUUUUUCAUUCGUCCUACCGAUGGACAUACAUUCAAAAUCCUACCAAUGGAUCAUCAUCUCUUUCAUUUAUCCUACCGAUGGACAUGCAUUCAAAAUCCUGUCGAUGGAUCAUAUUUUUUCAUUUGUCCUACCGAUGGACAUACAUUCAAAAUCCUAUCGAGGAUCAUCUUUUUUUCAUUUGUCCUACUGAGGGACAUACAUUCAAAAGCCUACCUAUAGAUCAUCUUUUUUUUAUUCGUCCGAUCGAUGGACAUACAUUCAUAUCCUACCAAUGGAUCAUUUUCAUUUGUCCUACCUAUGGACAUGCAUUUAUAUCAUACUAAUGGAUCAUCCUUAUUCGUCCGAUAGAUGAACAUAGAUUCAUAUCCUAUUAAUGGGUAAUUUUCAUUCGUCGAACCGAUGGACAUGAAUUUAUAACCUUUGAAUAGAACAUUUUAUUCGUCUGUUCGAUGGAGAUACAUUAAAAUCUUUCUGAUUGGAUCAUCUUCAUUCGUCCAAUGAACAUAUAUUUAUAUCUUCCGGAUAGAUCAUCUCCAUUCAUCGUAUCGUAAGAGAUGCUACCUUUUUUUCUUUUAGUUUUGUUUAUACCAAUGAGUUUUACCUUUGUUUUUUAAGAACAUCCUAGAGAAUGCAUUCUCAGUGGAUCCACAUGUGCGGACUACUUCAACAAGGACGCAACAUAGCGUUAAACCUUUUGGAUGUAAGUCCGGGAUCGACUUCUACCACAUUUCAACCAUACUUUUAUAUAAGUGUUAUGUGUUAAGACAAAAUCGGGCUUGUCAAUUUUUCUUAUCCUUGAUUUCUUUCACCAAUCAUAUCCAACGAAAGGGACAACUAUUGACACCCAUUUUGGCCUAACAUUUUCCAAAUUCAUAACUUUUGAGUUUUAUUUAUUUAAUAGUUAAAAAAGAAUUUUUUCAUAAUUUUGAAUAAGCUUAUCGAUAAUUAUCUUUAUUUAUAUAAACUUAGGGUUUGUUAUUAGUAGAUUUUUUAAAUUGCAUUUUACAUGUCAUUAGUUACGUUCAUUAUAUUAUUUUAAUAUUCAUUUUAUUUGUUACAUUUGUUGAUAUUUUGCACAUCAUAGUUUCAUUCAAAUGCGGAUAAAAUUUGUGUAUACAGUCGAUCGAUAAUUUUGGACCACAAUUUCAAACCCACAGAAUUUGAGCCCAUUACAUAAUUAUUUUUUCCAUUUAAGUUUUACAAGGUAAAGAAAUGAGGUGGCGGUGGAUAAUUUUUUUUAAUAUGAGAAGAUACAAUUUCCUGAUGAAAAACCCUAAUUUUUUCAAAUGAGGUUUUGGUUGGAGAAGGCAGGUGGUAAGGAAGGAGGGUGGUGGCUGAGGGACGAAAAUGGAGAGGAAAAAAUUAGGGUUUUUGAUUAGGAAAUUGUUUCUCAUAUAAAAUAAAAUAAAACUUAUCCACCACCACCUUAUUUCUUAACCUAGUAAAACUUAAAUAGAAAAAAUAAUUAUACAAUGGAUCAAAUUUUGUGGGUUUGAAAUUGUAGCCCAAAAUUAUCGAUAAAUUUUACAGGCAAAUUUUAUCCAUAUUUGAAUGAAUUUCUACAGUGUGCAAAAUAUCGACAUGAAUAUCAACAAAUGUAACAAAUAAAAUGAAUAUUAAAAUAAUAUAAUUUAUGUAACUAAUGACAUGUCAAAAUGCAAUUUAAAAAUUUACUAAUAAAAAAUUCUAAUUUUGAUAAAUAAAGAUAGUUAUCGAUAAACUCAUUUAAAAUUAUUAAAAAUCAUUUUGAACUACUUAAUAAAUAAACUUAAAAGUUAAGAAUUUUGAAAAUGUUAGGCCAAAAUUGGGUGUCAACUUAUGGUCAAGAUUAUUAGAAAAAAUUAAUCAAUCAAAUAAGUAAAAACACAAUUGUUUGCGACUAUGUUCAAGGUUAAGAAGGAUAAAAAGACAAUUGUUUGUGAUAUAUAUAUAUAUAUAUAUAUAUAUAUAUAUAUAUAUAUAGAGAGAGAGAGAGAGAGAGAGAGAGACACACUCGACAUCACAAAUAGCAAUAAGAAGGGUUAGGGUUAAGGAUCACUCAUAUCACAGGCAACAGAUCUGACGAGCUCAUGUUCCAUUGAAAAGAGAGGCUAGACCUCAACCUCAGAUUUGAAGUCCGAUGGUAGAGAUUCCCUUGAUCUUCUUUUUGGGGAUAUGACUUUAAGGAUUGUCCAUCCUCUGUCUAUUCAUCAAGUCAUGUCAUGCUCACUCUCAGGGACCGGAAUAUUUGAAGUUGCAUUAUAAUAUUCUAAACUAAAUUUUCAAAGUGCAAAAGAAAAACUUACAUCGUUGAAUCAAAAAUUAAAAGAGGAGAUCAAAAAGGGAAAUCCUCACAGACGAACAAUUAGAAGAACUCGCGAUUGAGUACUAAAAUAAGCAUGGAUACCGAUCUUAUUUAUAGUGCUCAAAAUUUAAUUUAUUUUCCAUGUGGAUUAAUUUCUCAAGAUUUAUUGACUUAAUGAAUUGAAAAGAGAAUAAAUAGAGUCAAACUAAAUUUUAAUAACUUAAUGGCGGUGUGAAACUUAACAGGGGAACUAACAUAAAUUCUACUAGUUUAGAAACUUACUACUUAGAUACAUUCUAGAUUUAAAUAUUAUAUAUCUUACCAGAUUUGUGGUGAGUCCAGAUAUGUUUAGAUACGUCCAGAUGCAUGUAUCUCAGGAUAUACAAGGUCAAAUUUUGUUUUAGACAUUGUAUCCAAGUAGAUUCAUAUGUAUUUGGGAUACAUAACAAAUCUCCCUCGCUUCUCUCUCAAUUCACUCAUUACUCUCCCUUGUAUCUGGGAAUCACAGCAGAUAAAUUUAAAUACAUGUAUAUAGUGUGUAUCUAGUGUGAUUCACAUGUAUAUGAGAUACAUAACAAAUAUCACUCGCCUUUAUUUCAAUCUUGCUUGCCUUUCUCGCUAUUUUAGUUUAUCUGAUAACAAAAAUAUAUGCAUCAAGUAUAUCUUUCUCAAUAUAUGGUAUAAAACUCUUAAUUAGUAGUAAGAUAUAUAAUAUUUUGAAAUUAUAAAUAACAAUAGUAUAUACACUAAAUAUGUAGUGAGGUAUAUCUAAAUAUGUAGUUUUUCACGCUAAAUAUUCAUUGUAAUCAUAAAAGUAAACUAGCAAAAUAGAAUACGAAUGAAAAUCAAACAGUUCAAGUUUAGAAACACAAUAAUUGUGGUCUAAAUAUGUCGAUCAACUAGUUUAUAAUAUAUGUAUCAUGUCUCUAAAUAACGAUACCAAGACCAUAUUGAAAGGAUCUAUAAAACUGAAAAGUGAAUUGUGUACCACGAUUAGAAAAAAUGGACAAAUACAGACCAUGAAACCUUAUAAUUUCUCUCAAGUACAACUUAAUCCUCCAUCGAAUAAGAAACCUUGACGAAAAUGAAAUGGGCAAAUUUCGUUAUUUGAUUUACUAUAACCCAAAUCAAGUCAUGUUGUCGCUUAGUGCGAGGCAAGCCAAUGAUGAAGUCCAUAUUCACAUCUUACCACUUUCGAGUAGAAAUUCUAUUUUAGGGCUAACUUUUUGAUUUUUGAUGCUCAAAUUUCAUUUGUUGAUAAUUAGGACACUUAGCCACAAAUCCCGCAAUAUCCUUCUUCAUCCGAUUCCACCAAUAUAUCUCUUUCAAAUCAUGGUACAUCUUAGUGGCUUCCGAGUGAAUGAAAGACCGAGAACUAUGGUCUUUUUAUAAGAUCUUCUCCCUCAGGACAUCUAUAUUGGGAGCACACAAAAAAACUUAAUAUCUAAAUACUCCAUCUCCCCCUUGGAACAAAGACUCUAAAGACUUUUUAAGUAAAUCUUUUUCAAUUCAACAAAAGUCGGAUCAAGAUUUUGCUUG
rnacentral:lncRNA from 1 species